UAGAAUUGUUUCCAUACUCCAAACUGUUACAAGUUAUGCAUUUAUAGUAUUCAUCUUAAGAUGCAAAUAAGAAAAGGGUUCAAAUAAUAAAAACUUCUACAACUGGCCUGAACUCUAAUUAAUCCUGCAGUUACAAGCCUUCUCAAUCACAGAAAGGAAAUAAAAAUGGACAUGGACAUGGAACAAAAAAGAAAGAGACAAUCUUUGAGAGUCUGAAAAUGUGAGGCUUGAGCACAUGGGAGAAGAUAUUAUGGGGGCAUAAUAUAGUCUACUAAAAUCCUUCAACAUUAAGCACACACACAUUAAAACUUCUACAAUCAUACAAUUAAACAGCCACUGACCUGAACUCUAAUUAAUCCUGCAGUUACAGGCCUUCUCAAACACAGAAAAGAAAACCAAAAUGGACAUGGACAUGACAUGGAACGAAAAAGAAAGAGACAAUCUUCUAGUGACAUUGCUUUUUGGCAUCUCAAGAGAGAGACCUUAAUUAAUUAGUACCACCAAGAACACCCUUCAGUUUCUUUAUCUGAGCAGCAUCAAGGAAAGUAGUCUGAGCUAUUACUUCGGUAGGCAAAUCGUUUUUGAACAAAGCAAAGUCCAGAAUUUGGAGACCCGGGCUUGCACUCCCGAAGCUAGCAAAUGCAAGGGCUGGAGCCUCACCUCCAUUGACUUGGAAGUGCAACAGCCCCUGUGGGAAAACCAUAAUGUCACCCUUCUCAAGAGUUUGCAGAUAAGGUGUGUUAUCUGAGGCAACAAACCCGGCGCAGAUUGUCCCUUGGGCGACAAUUAGGACUUCUGAAGCUCCAGGGUGUGUGUGAAAUGGGACAACUCCGCCAACCGCCAAGUCUAGACGGGCGAUGGAAAUGCCGAGGCCAUUCACACCAGGAAACUGAGCAACAAAUGCAGGGGUGACUGCAGCUUUGAUGAUGUUACUGGUGUUACCAGCAAUGCCCAGGCCCGAGAACACAAAAUCAUUUACUUUAACACUUGCAGGCUUUUUGCAAGAGAAGCCUGCAGGGCCUUCAGGAGCUGCUAAGUCUGCAACACAGAAGUCUUGCACAGCCGCAUUGGAGGAGGAGAGGAGGAGAAAAAAUGUGAACAAGAUAGGGAAAAUCAUCGUUGCCUGGCGCAAUAGGUGUGUGGUGGCUGCAAGCUUUCUUUUCUUUUAAGGUGUGCAAGUCUUGAUAAGAAAAUUGGGAUCAUAUAUAGUGGGAUAAUGCAAAUAUCUUGAGCUAUUGCAAUUGGUUGCUGAGAAUAUGCUACCCAUGUAUUCACAUGUAUGGCAAUGCUAAAGGUAUACGAUGGGGGAAAGGACAGGUUUCAAGCUGUGAUGCAUGUGAGUAUGAUAUUUUUCUCGGAUAACAACAAGAAGCUUCUUUUUGUUUUGGGUUAUUGAUCGAAUGCUCCCUCAAUUUUUGCCCCAAUAUCAUUUUGGUCCAACAAUUAAAAUUUUCAUUUCAAUAGUCCUUCAACUCUUUAUUUGGUAUCAAAACGUUAAAAACUGUUCAUAUUACCGUUAAAUCAAGGGGUAAAAUUGUCCAUAUGAAUUAAAAUAUGAAUAAAAAAUUAAAAAUUGAAUGAACCUAUUAUAAAACUUAGAAAAUUAAAAAAAUUGAAUCUCACCGCCUACUGUAGUCCACUCACCAGCCACAUGGCCUUUUUUUUUUCUUUUUUUAUUGAGAUUGACUUAAAAAUUAAUAAAAACGACCAUCCGCAAAACGCAACCCCUCCCUUUUCCUCACCCAACACAAAUCCUCAAUGACUUGAUGGCCUCAAAAAGAGGCUGAAUUCCAAAGAUUUUGGUCCAUUAAAGCAGUUCCAGUGGACAAAUGCUGCCAGGGUUGUUGGUGGGCUCCACAAGCCUGGGCUGGCCCUCAAGCAAAACCAGCUCUUGCUCUAGCUUGGGUUUGCUGACAUCAGCGAUGACGUCAUCAACCAAAAUUUUAAAAAAAUUAAAAAUUAAAAAUUUCAAAAAUUUUAAAAAAUAAAUACUUAGUAAUAUUUUUCACUUCCCACACCAAAACUCUAUACAAAUUCCUCUCCUCAUAUCUCAUAUGAAUAGUGGUUACCAUGGUAAUGAGUGGAAACACCAUAAGCCUUUUGCAAGGGCUGCAACUAUUCACCUGAAUAGUAAUAGCCCUUGCCUCCCCUUGCCAUUUGCCAUGGCAAAUGGGUGGAAGUGCUCUUAGAUUCCAACAAAAACCCUUCUCUUCCUCUGGACUUUCGUCGAGCAACUGAUGGGAAACUCCAAGUCGCACCACCAGCAAACAAGGACCUUUAAGCCCAUUUCGAUGGCUGCCAUGGGGUCUGCCACUGCCUCCAACCCCUCUCUGAUUCCUAUGACGUCAUACGCCAAUUUCCUCUAGCCGUCAGAUCCAAGCAAAACUGGUCUCUCUGUUUUGGUGUUUCCAACUCGGCUCGCGGCUCCGAUUGUCCUUUCUGAGGCAAGCGCGAGGUUCACGACCACGUGGUUGGCUGCGAAGCCUGCAAGCGCGGCUUUCACCUCACAUGCACCGGAAUGCGCACUACCAAGCCAUGAAUUUGGAGAAAUGGGAAUGUGAGGAGUGUACGAGCAGUGGGGUUAGAAGCAAGUGCUGAACGUUUGGAGUUUUUUUUUUAAUUGGUUGAAAGGCCACCUGAAGUUAAGUUCAAGCAGAUUUUGCAAUAUUUUACUUUAAUUUUUAAUUACACUUCUUUUUCCAACAAAAAAAAAACUUUAUUAAUAUUUUAAUUUAUAUGGAUAGUUUUACCCCUCAAUUUAAUAAUAAAAUUGACAGACUUUGACGGUAGGACCAAUUUGAUACUAAACGGAGAGUUGAAGGACCAUUGAAAUGAAAAUUUUAGUUCAUGGACCAAAAUGAAACUGGAGCAAAAAUUAAAGGACCAUUCCAAUCAAUAACCCUUUUGUUUUUGCCCUAUGGUUUCAGAGUUACCACUAACCGUGAUGAAGCAGGCAUGAGUUCCCGAAUCUUUCGACGUUUGAGUACAAUCCCAUGUAGUAGUUUAAAAUUUUUUUGCCCACGAAGUGAUAAUUUGUUAGCUUUUUCCCAUCUGUGUUCUAUAGCUAUGACCAAUCAAACAGAUAAAGUAUAUAUUCAGCAUAUGCUGCAACUAUUUUCCUGAAUUGAUCAAUACAUUAACAAAAUAUAUAGGCUUAUUUCAUGUGUUGCUAGUACUGAAGGUUGUGUUUUAAGAUUUGAAAUCCAGCAGGAGAAGCCGAAAAAUGGUGAGCAGAUUGUGGCCCUUGAGAAAAUGGGGAAAGAUAUUCAAGGGAAGCCAUUUUGACAGCUAAAAAAUGCCAGAGGAAUGGGAAUUCUGUGGAUAUCAAAAAUUCCCCUUCUUGUAGGGUUCUUGGAUUUCAAUAUAGGAUGGUAAAAUGUCUCUUCAAAUUCUGUCUCUUUGUGGUGUAUCUUUACUAAGAUUCUUCUAGAGUUCACCUUAUCAUUAGAAGAUGGCACCAACACCACAUUGCUUUUACAUGAAUAUGAGCCAAUGAUUACCAAAAACCAAAAAAAAAAACAAAUUUAUAUGAGCAAAUGUAGAAUAAUGUAUGGACAAUUAAUUCAAUCUCAAUUAUGUGGUAUGACAUAAUGGAAAAACUCAUAUUCAUAUAAAGAUGUAGACAAUCCAAUCUCAAUUAUGUUAUGUUAACAAGUAAUUUUUUUGUCCUUAACCAAGUUGACAGAGAAAAAUUAAGGAGUCCCAAAUGCAUUGCUCUUAUACCUCCCUUUGUAACACUGACUCCGGCUCAUGGACGCCAGUCUCCUUAAUCUUAGUGAUUAGGGAUCCAGCAGAAACUUUAUACACAAAGCAGUCUUCAACAAUCAUCCUCUAUACCCUUAAGCCUUCCAGUGAUCCCGUAGCCACGACAACGUCUUCCUGAUGAAUUACACUCGUUAAAUUUAAGAAAAAAAACUCUCACUUCACCUGGAGUCAGUAAAAGAUGUACAAUGUAGAUGAAGGAAGUUGAGGUUCCACCCCAAAAUCAAUUGACAAUGGGGGGAGUAGCCCAACUCUCAGUAGACAUCAUAAGAAGAAAGGAGCACUAUCACUUACAUCAACAACAAGAAUACCACCUGCCACUUCCUCAAAGUCCUGCAUACCCGUUAUAUAUUGGGGAAGGUUAGAAAAACAGAUGGAAGAAGUACUAAGAAGAAAGGAGCAAUAUCACUUACAUCAUCAACAACAUGAAUACCACCUGCCACUUUCUCAAGGUCCUGCAUUCCAGUUAUAUAUUGUGAAUUGAAAAUUAGAGAAACAGCUGGAAGAAGAACUAAAUUAACAUGUACCUUUAUGUACAACAUGGUUUAAAAUUCAAAUCACUUUAUGCGCACCUCCAUAUAGGAACCAUCGGGACCAAAAAGAAGUGUUUUCAGUUCGGAAUGUUGUUCCUGCACAAAAUAUAGAUUAGACCAAAGGCUCAUAUUACUUGCCCAAUGCUCACAUUAAUUCCAAAUUUGAUAAAAAUUAUAAAGAUCAAGCAAAAGCUGUAACACCAUGUUACAGUGCUGAAGUUAAGAAGUACGCCACUUAACGGUGUGCAGUAAGGAAAUAAUACACAGCCGUUUAAUUGUUUUUGCUAGAUGUUUUUCUAACUGUUGGCAAUAUAAUUGGGGUGCAGGCACUUAAAAAACUGGCAGGUUGUAAUGUUGUUCUUGCUGAGGUAAGUGUUACAGUUGCUUUGUGAUUUUGAUGGCUACAUUGCUUGCACAUCUUGUUCUAUCUAAUAUUUUUAAUCUGCAUGUAAACUAUCAGUGGAAGGAGGCAUUAUUUUAGCUAUAGGCCCAUUUGAAGGAUUAAGGUUGAUGAGGACAUUCAUGGAAGACUGCAUUGUUUGCAACGUUUCCCCUCGAACCCUUAUCCGUCGGGUCAGAGAUGUGGAUUGUAUGGCUGUUUACGGUAAUCUGCGUUAUAUCUCUGGUGACGGCUUUGAGUGCAAGGAAUGAUUUUGGAGCCGUUGCCUUCUUUUCUCUGUGAAUUCUGAAUUCUAUAUGGGGUCGAGAGUAGUAUGUCUUGAUCUCUUGGACUACAGGGGUUCAAGAUAUUUGUGAUCACUCAUCGUUGGAUAUAAAUUCAAUGGUUCACUCACUCUUGCACUCCUUUUAAAUAACUUUUUUGAACUACUAGAUUAAUAUCUAACGGUGGGUGACUACAAUCUCUUGGACUCCUGUGGUCCAAGAGAUCGGGACUGUGAACAUUAGUAUUAAACAAUUUCCUCCGUUCAUCAAACAUUAUUUUGGUAUAUAUAGUUACCAACUUUCCAUAUUAUCCUUAUUAUUUUCUUAACAAUACGAUAUUCUAAACUACUCUAAAAUACGGAGAGGGAGAUUUGAGCUCAGGUGCAACUGGGUGGACACAGCUGCUAAUGCGUGUGCUCCUUAUUUUCAAAUCUAUUAUUUGAUUACAGGCCUUCUCAAUCACAAGAAGAAAACAAAGGGACAAUCUUUAGUGACCUUCUUCCUCUUCGGUAUCUCAAUAGACCUUAUUAGUGCCACCAAGAACACCCUUAAGCUUCUUUAUCUGAGGAGCAUCAAGUAAAGUAGUCUGCGCUAUCAAUUCGGUAGCUAAGUCAUUUUUGAAGAGUGCAAAGUCCACAAUCUGCAGACCAGGGCUUGGACUGCUGAAGCUAGGAAAUGCAAUGGCCGGAGUGUCACCUCCAUUCACUUGGAAGUGCAAUAGUCCUUGAGGGAACACGAUAAUGUCACCCUUCUUAAGAGUUUUCAGAUAAGGUGUGUUAUCUGAGGCAACAAACCCGGCAAUUAUUGUCCCUUGGACAACAAGUAAAACUUCUGAAGCUCCGGGGUGAGUGUGAAAGGGGACAACUCCACCCGGACCCAGGUCUAAACGAGCCAGUGAAAUGCCAAGGCCAUUCACACCAGGAAAUUGGGCAGCAAAUGCAGGGGUGACUGCUGCUUUGAAGAUAUUUGUGGUGUUACCAGCAAUGCCUAGGCCUGAGUACACAAAAUCAUUGACGGUAACUAUUGCGGGCUUUUUGCAAGAGUAGCCUGCAGGGCCAUCAGGAGCUUUGUAGUCUGCAACACAGAAGUCUUGCACAGAGGCAUGGGAAGUGGAGAGGAGGAGAAAAAAUGUGAAGAAGAUAGGGAAAAUCAUCUUGGCUGAGUGUAGCAGGUAUUUGUUUAAGCCUUUUUGAGGUGUGCUUCUGUAAAGCAAAUUGGGAUUUACAUAUAUAGCGGGAUAAAGCGAAUAUCUUGAACCACUGCAAUUGGUUGGUACUAGGUAGGAAUUUGCCCAUAUAGGACUCACAUGCAGGGGCGGUGGCAGGGUAGGCAGCCGCCAACUCCAUUUUUUGCCAAACUAAAAAUUACUCAAUACCCAAUACAAUCAAAUUUCUUCUGUUUACUCAAACCCAACCCACCAGGGGCAGUCCUACCCUAAGAGCAGGGUAGGCAGCGGCUACUCCAUUUUUUGCCAAACCAAAAAUUAUCCAAUACCCAAUACAAUCAAAUUUCUUCUGCCUACUCAAACCCAACCCGCUCAAAUUUUUUCCUUUAACAAAAACAAUAGCCUAGCACACUCAAACUUUCUCCUUUAACAAGAACAAUAAAAAGCAAUAUAAGCAUGUGAAAGAUGUGAAAGUUGUAUGAAGAUUUUUUUUUUUUUUAAAAUUACAAAAAAGGUGGUAGGAGUGUCACCUCUUCGAGCCGGGCACGAAUUAUGGGAAAGUUCUCCCCAAGAGGUUCGUUACACAUGCAGAGGAUCGAACUCAGGACCUCAGUGUGGAGCCCGAUCACAUUCGCCCAACAUGUGUGGCCUAGCCCAUUCAAUUUUCCACUAGACCAAACCCACUUGGGUAUGGAGAUAUUUUUCAACGUUGACUAACAUUGUGAAUUUUGUUAGUGCGUCUGCUAAGCGCUGUAAUGAGUUAAAUUUAUUUCGAAAAGCUAAACUCAAAGAGUUGUUAGAUUUUGGGGAACUUGAGACAGAUAGAAGACUUAAUCAAGGUCGUAGUUUGAAACGAGCUGGAGCCGCUCGUUGGGGAUCUCACUUUGCCUCUAUUACAAGUUUGAUGAGUUUAUUUAAAGAGACUAAAAUACUUCUCCAAGAAAUCAGUGAUUAUGGACCUAACCAACAAUUUCAUGGCAAUGCAAAGAGUAACUAUAUUGCUAUGAUGUCUUUUGAGUUUGUGUUUUCAUUGUUUUUGAUUGAUAAAAUAAUGGGAUUGACCAACUUUCUUUGUCAACUGUUUCAGACAAAAACCUAAGAUAUUGCAAGUGCUUUAAACUUUGUUGAAAACACGAAAUCACAGUUCCAAGAUAUGAGGGCACAUGACUGGGAUGAUUUAUUCAUGGGUGUGGUAUCAUUUUGUGAACAACAUGGUAUUAAUGUUCCUGAUAUGAGUUCUCGUUAUAUGAGUCCCUACCAUAAGAAUGAGGAAACCCGCUUCUUUAUUAUAUUUUGUAAAUAUCUCUUCCUUCCCUUCCAAAGAAUAUUUUUCUUAGAAGUCGGCGAAUCGUAAAAGGACUUGUAUAAAAUGAUUGCUAUCUUUCGGCUUUCCACUUACCCGGUUCCCCACGCGGCGAAUGGGUACGUCCGGGGUCGAUCGUAUAGAUUGACGCAAAAUUUUUUUAUUUUAACGAAUCGUGCCGCCGAAGAAACCUCACCCUAACCACAUAAAGCCAAAAAAUUAGCGGUCGUUUUUGUCAAUAAAAAGAUUUUAUUACAGUUGAACAUUACUAUUACAUUAAUGUAUUUAAUGAUGUGAUAGAUUGCAUGGUGAGGGAGUUAAAUGACAGAUUUCUAGAGCAAACAGUUAAACUUUUUAUUUUUAGCUCAGCAUUUGAUCAUCGUAAUUCCUUCAAAUCAAUCAAUAUUGGGCAUCUAUGUAAACUUGCUGAGAAAUUCUAUCAUGCUGAUUUCAGUCCAAGUGACUUGAAAGCUUUAGAAAUUGGGAUGAGGUAUUUCAAAAUGAUAAGCAUCGCCUUCCCCGCUUUAAGGACCUCACCACUCUUCCUCAGUUAUGUCAACAAUUGGUGGAAACAACUUUGGGAGAAAACUACUAUUUGCUUUACAAGUUGAUUUAGUUGGUGUUGACUCUUCAUGUUUCUACAGCAACAAAGAACGAGCUUUUUCAUUUAUGAGAAUUAUUAAGAAUAGACUUUGGAGCACCAUAGCUGAUGAAUUCCUUACUGAUUGCAUGAUUCUCCACAUUGAAAGAGAGUUUGCUCAUAAUAUCGAUAAUGAAGAGAUAAUUGAGGAAUUUAAGAUUUUUAAGCCUUGCAGGGUAAAGUUUUAGAUUUAAAUAGUUUAGUUUUGUGUUGCAUUGCAUUUACUUCUUGUUUUUCUGUUAAGCGUUUAUUUAUAUAUAGAUAUGCAUAUUUGAUGGUAAGGCUCAUUACGUCCCCCCUAACUAGAUGUAUCUUUUUCUUCUUUUUUUUGUGCCCCUAAAGUGAUAAUUUGUUAGCCUUUUCCCAUCUGUGUUCUAUAGCUAUGACCAAUCAAACAGAUGAAGUAUAUAUUCAGCAUAUGCUGCAACUAUUUUCCUGAAUUGAUCAAUACAUUAACAAAAUAUAUAGGCUUAUUUCAUGUGUUGCUAGUACUGAAGGUUGUGUUUUAAGAUUUGAAGUCCAGCAGGAGAAGCCGAAAAAUGGUGAGCAGAUUGUGGUCCUUGAGAAAAUGGGGAAAGAUAUUCCAGGGAAGCCAUUUUGACUGCUAAAAGGUGCCAGAGGACUGGGAAUUCUGUGGAUAUCAGAAAUUCCCCUUCUUGUAGGGUUCUUGGAUUUCAAUAUAGGAUGGUAAAAAGUCUUUACAACUUCUGUCUCUUUCUGGUGUAUCUUUACUAAGAUUCUUCUAGAGUUCACCUUAUCAUCGGAAGAUGGCACCAACACCACAUUGAUUUUACUUGAAUAUGAGCCAAUGAUUACCAAAAAAGAAAAAAGAAAAACAAAUUUGUAUGAGAGCAAAUGUAGAAUAAUGUAUGGACAAUUAAUUCAACCUCAAUUAUGUGUUAUGACAUAAUGGAAAAACUCAUAUUCAUAUAAAGAUAUAGACAAUCUAAUCUCAAUUGUGUUAUGUUAAUAAGUAAUUUUUUCGUCCUUAACCAAGUUGACAGAGAAAAAUUAAGGAGUCCCAAGCGCAUUGCUCUUACACCCGCACCGUGUACACCCGCCUUUGUAACACUUUCCCGGCUCAUGGACGCCCGUCACCUGGAGUCAGUAAAAUAUGUACAAUGUAGACAUCAUAAGAAGAAAGCAGCACUAUCACUUACAUCAACCACAAGAAUACCACCUGCCACUUCCUCAUCCUCAAAGUCCUGCAUACCAGUUAUAUAUUGGGGAAGGUUAGAAAAACAGCUGGAAGAAGUACUAAGAAGAAAGGAGCAAUAUCACUUACAUCAUCAACAAUAUGAAUACCACCCGCCACUUUCUCAAGGUCCUGCAUUCCAGUUAUAUAUUGUGAAUUGAAAAUUAGAGAAACAGCUGGAAGGAGAACUAAAUUAACAUGUACCUUUAUGUACAACAUGGUUUAAAAUUCAAAUCACUUUAUGCACCUCUAUAUAGGAACCAUUGGGACCAAAAAGAAGUGUUUUCAGUUCGGAAUGUUGUUCCUGCACAAAAUAUAGAUUAGACCAAAGGCUCAUAUUACUUGCCUAAUGCUCACAUUAAUUCCAAAUUUGAUAAAAAUUAUGAAGAUCAAGCAAAAUCUUUAACACCAUGUUCCAGUGCUGAAGUUAAGAAGUACGCCACUUAAUUAAUGGUGUGCAGAAAGGAAAUAAUACACAGCUGUUUAAUUGUUUUUGCUAGAUGUUUUUCUAACUGUUGGCAAUAUAAUUGGGGUGCAGGCACUUUAAAAACUGGCAGGUUGUAAUGUUGUUCUUGCUGAGGUAAGUGUUACAGUUGCUUUGUGAUUUUGAUGGCUACAUUGCUUGCACAUCUUGUUCUAUCUAAUAUUUUUAAUUUGCAUGUAAACUAUCAGUGGAAGGAGGCAUUAUUUUAGCUAUAGGCCCAUUUGAAGGAUUAAGGUUGAUGAGGACAUUCAUGGAAGACUGCAUUGUUUGCAACGGUUCCCCUCGAAACCCUUAUCCGUCGGGUUAGAGAUGUGGAUCGUAUGGCUGUUUACGGUAAUCUGCGUUAUAUCUCUGGUGACGGCUUUGAGUGCAAGGAAUGAUUUUGGAGCCGUUGCCUUCUUUUCUCUGUGAAUUCUGAAUUCUAUAUGGGGUCGAGAGUAGUAUUGAACAUUAGUAUAUUAAACAAUUUCCUCCGUUCAUCAAACAUUAUUUUGGUAUAUAUAGUUACCAACUUUCCAUAUUAUCCUUACUUUUUCAAAUUUUUUUCUUAACAAUACGAUAUUCUAAACUACUCUAAAAUACGGGGAGGGAGAUUUGAGCUUAGGUGCAACUGGGUGGACACAGCUGCUAAUGCGUAUGCUCCUUAGUUUCAAAUCUAUUAUUUGAUUAGUUCGGGGUUUUAGAGUAUAUUAUAUCAUUCUUAUUUCUUGAUUGACAAAGCAGGUUAUCUUAAUAAUAUAGAUAUUACAACGAAUCUGGACCUGGAGAUGCAUUGUCAUCUUAAUUAAGAUACAAAUAGAUGGGGCAUUUGCCUUCAACACAAUGAUACUUCUACAAGCAUACAAAAAGCACGAACUAGAGUAAAAUUUUACUGGUAAUGCAGAAACUGCCACUGGGCAAAACAAUCCUAAACUUACAGGCCUUCUCAAUCACAACAAGAAAACAAAGGGACAUGAAAUAAAAGAAAGAUUCAAUCUUUAGUGACCUUCUUCCUCUUCGGUAUCUCAAUAGACCUUAAUUAGUGCCACCAAGAACACCCUUAAGCUUCUUUAUCUGAGCAGCAUCAAGGAAAGUAGUCUGCGCUAUCAAUUCGGUAGGUAAGUCAUUUUUGAAGAGUGCAAAGUCCAGAAUCUGCAGACCAGGGCUUGGACUGCUGAAGCUAGGAAAUGCAAGGGCCGGAGUGCCACCUCCAUUCACUUGGAAGUGCAAUAGUCCUUGAGGGAACACCAUAAUGUCACCCUUCUUAAGAGUUUUCAGAUAAGGUGUGUUAUCUGAGGCAACAAACCCGGCAAUUAUUGUCCCUUGGACAACAAGUAAGACUUCUGAAGCUCCGGGGUGAGUGUGAAAGGGGAUAACUCCACCCGGACCCAGGUCUAAACGAGCCAGUGAAAUGCCAAGGCCAUUCACACCAGGAAAUUGGGCAGCAAAUGCAGGGGUGACUGCUGCUUUGAUGAUAUUUGUGGUGUUACCAGCAAUGCCUAGGCCUGAGUACACAAAAUCAUUGAUGGUAACUUUUGCAGGCUUCUUGCAAGAGUAGCCUGCAGGGCCAUCAGGAGCUUUGUAGUCUGCAACACAGAAGUCUUGCACAGAGGCAUGGGAAGAGGAGAGGAGGAGAAAAAAUGUGAAGAAGAUAGGGAAAAUCAUCUUGGCUGAGUGUAGCAGGUAUUUGUUUAAGCCUUUUUGAGGUGUGCUUCUGUAAAGCAAAUUGGGAUUUACAUAUAUAGCGGGAUAAAGUGAAUAUCUUGAACCAUUGCAAUUGGUUGGUAGGAAUGUGCCCAUGUAGGACUCACAUGUGGAAAGAUGUUAAGCAUACGGCAAACGACAGAUUUCAAGCUAGCUGUGAUGCAUGUGAACAUGAUAUUUUCUUCAUAUAACAACAAGAAGCCUCUUUUUGCUUUUGAAAAUGCAGUAACAGCAAGAUCUUAUUAAGAAAACAACUGACCUACGGUUUCAGAGUUAUCACUAAUUAAUCAUGCUGCAUAUCUAACAAGAGAAUCCAAGGUUUUGUUUUAAGAUUAAAAGUCCUUGAAGGUCUGAAAAAGGCACAACAGAUUGCGGUCCUUGAGGUUUGAGCACAUGGGAGAAAGAUAUUAUGGGGGCAUAAGAAGACAUUUUGACAGCUAAAAGGAGGCAGGAAAAUGGGAAUGUGUGGCUAUGAGAAGUUCCCCUUCUUGCAGGGUGCUUGGAUUUCAUUAUUGAGAACUGUAAAGUCUUCUCAAAUUCUGUCUCUUUGUAUGUCUUAGCUGCAAUAUUCCUCUAGAGUUGAGUCAAUGUAGAAACUUAUAUUACAAAUUACACAUCGUGCCUUGAGCUUCAUGCACGUAAUAUCGAUGCCUCAGUUGAAGUUUCUCACUAAUAUGCUUUAUAGCAGUGGAUUUUCAAAACAAUGCCCCUAUAAGUUAUGCUACGUUCUAUUUACCAACAUUUACUGUCAAUUUUUUUUACGCAGAUUUGGCUUAGAGACAAACGAAAUGUGGCGGUAACUUUUCUCUUUUGGUCAUAAUCUGUGGUUAAUUUGAGUUCAGUUACUUCAUUACUCAGUUGCAGAAUGUAAAAAUGAGAAGGAAUCUUUUCUUUUGCCUAGGUCUAAAAUCCUAUAUUUUGCGUGUGUGGUGUUUAUAGAAGCUUUCAAGAUAAGGUUAUGAGCUUUUAGGAUAACCAUCCGCAGGGUGUAGCCUUCCAUCUUUCACUUUCAGCCAACAAAUACAAAAGCUCCGUACAGAAUUUUGUUUGUGAAGUUGUCCAAAACACUAUGAUAUGUGCCACUGAUUCUAAAUACAAAAAAAUAUAGAUACAAUAGUAUAGAAUGAGUUAUAUAUCAACAGUACAUUAUACAAUUCUGAGUGAAGGAAAAAAGGUACAUAUAAAAUUCUUUGCAUGUAAAGAAUCUGAAGAUCAAGAUUUAAACACAGAAUGUCAUGCUUAAAUAGAAAAAAGGUUAUGAGCAACACCCAGAAACCAAAUCACCAAAAGCUAAAUUCAAAUCAAAAACCAGAAAAGGGAGUUCUGCCCAUUUCUCAUGAACCAAAUCACCAAAAGCUAAAUAUGAACUUAAAUGGAUGAGAUUUGAGGAUUUGAAGGAAUGAGAGAAAAUGAUGGGACAGUCCCUCCAAUAAAGCAUGAGGUUCAUGAAAUUUCAUUACAUUAGAAAAUAAAGCUUCAAAGGGGAAAAUGAUAAAUAAGUUUUUGGUAUUUCCUGUUUGUUCAAAAAAAGAAAAAAAAAAGAAAAAAAAAAGUAGGGAUAGAUUGAAUGGUUGAGGAUGAAUGAGAAGAUUGAGCAUUGUGCAAAUCUUGUUUGCAAUACUGGUUUCCUUAAUUAUGUUAAGUGAAAAGUAAUAUGAAAAUAAAUUAAAUAUCAAUCUCUUUUUGUUAUUUAUUGGACAAUGUGGGUAAAGUCAAAAUGUCAAAAGGAAAAAAAGCUCGUAGAAGAAGAAAAAGUAGGUCCAGUAAAGUGACUAGGCAAUAUCGAAUUAAAUUAAAUAUGUAUAGAAAGAAGAAUGGCAAAAUCUGGCAAUAUAAAAAUGAAAAGGAAGAACAGGAAUGAUAGUAUCCACAGAAAUCUGUCCAUGGGAUCUUAAUUACUGCACCUCCUGGGUUAACAUUCCAAAUGUACCAUCUUUUUCCAAACUGUUGCACGCUGAUUUGAAGGGGAAAAUCCCCAUCCAAUUGUUGUACAUCUUCAGCUGUGUCUGACUUGUGUCUCCUCAUAAAAGAAAAUCUGAGGAAAAGUUAAACAAUUAGAAUACAACAUUAAAACCAGGCAAGCAUCAUGGAUUAGUGGUAAGGAUUAAAGUCAGCAAAUCCAGUCUUAAAACAGGCAUACUAAUUGAGUACUUCUGUCAGUAUAUAUAUGGAAUGGACUCUAAAUUUGACCCAAGGUUGAAGUUGUUUAAGGAAAAGAGACCUCAUUUUAUCAUCUCCUUCAGGUAAUUACCUAAUUCCCUCUGGCCACUUGGGGUUGUGUUAGCUUGAUAUACAUUGCUAAUCCCAUUUCUUGGCAACUUUUUGUUGGAUCUAGUGGUUCCCUUUUGAAAUUAUCCCAAGGGAUAAAUUCCCAAUAGUUUUAAUAGUAAAAUAAAUUUUACAGGUUGUUAUUUUCUGGAUUCUACAUUAACACUUUAAUCAUGCUCCUUUGCAUAUCAAUAACAAAUUAAUCUAAUUAGAAACAUUGGACAUUCUUGACAGAAAUUAUUUACUUACGUACACUAAUCCAAUACUAAUCACCAGGCACUGAGUGAUCAAAAGUGAUGGAAGUACUGCAUUGGAUUGCAUUCAUUCUGUCCAUUUUAGCAACCAUUCACAACCAUAUAGGCCUUGUGGAAGCUUCUACUGACAUAGGUGUUUGCUAUGGAAUGUUAGGAGAUGAGCUCCCUGCUGCUACAGAAGUGGUUAAUCUGUACAAAAAAUAUGGCAUUGGCAAAAUCAGACUUUAAUCCAAAUCCUGCAGCACUCCAAGCACUGAGAGGGAGCAAUAUCGACGUCACUCUAGGCAUCCCGAAUGAAGAAAGCCAAUUUGGCAGGAAGUCAAGGUGCUGUGAACACAUGGUUUGCAGCCAAUGUAGAGCCCUAUGUAAAUGACAUUGUCUUCAAUCACAUUGCUGUUGGCAAUGAGGUCAUUCCUGGUUCCUUGGCCGAGCACAUUUUGCCUGUCAUGAAGUAUCUACAGAACGUCAUAAAUGACAAAAACUUAGAUGGUAUUAAGGUGACCACUGUUUUGUCAGGGACUGCAUUAGCAUCGUCAUAUCCGCCUUCAAAUGGCGCAUUCAAACCAGGGGCAAGCAAUGUUAUGAGUGCCAUUCUUGCAUUUUUAUCGGCACGAGGAUCACCCCUUAUGAUCAAUGUGUAUCCUUACUUUGCCUACUCAUCUGACCCUGCCAAUAUACACUUGAACUACGCUCAAUUCACUGCAACUAGUCUUGUGGUUCAGGACGGGGCCCUGAGCUAUUAUAACCUGUUUGAUGCCACGGUGGAUGCUUUUUUUCGCAGCAAUGGAGAAAGCAGGAGGGGGCGGUGUUGGUGUUGUGGUGUCUGAGAGUGGUUGGCCUUCUGAUGGUAAUGGAGAUUUCACCACUCCAGAACUUGCAAGGACAUAUAACAGGAAUUUCUUGAAGCACAUAACCUCAAAGGCAGGGACACCAAAAAGACCUGGUGCUUACAUUGAGGGGUACAUUUUUGCCAUGUUCAAUGAGAAUCAGAAACCUGAAGGUGUGGAGCAGCAUUUCGGACUUUUUCAUCCUAACAUGCAACCUGUUUAUCCUGUGUUUUAAAUCAAGACACACCAAGUUUCAAGUCAAAUUAUGUAUCUAUAAUGUAAUAAAGACGUGAGUGAUCUUGAAAUUUGGGAUAAACAAUCAAUUCCCAAUAGUAUCUAUGUUGGUAGCAAUACAAAAUUGCUUCACCAUUGUUGGGAAAUUGUGAUCUUCUUGAUGCCUUUUAAUUAUAAUUUCAUGUUGUUUCAUUCUCUUUCUUUAUUUUUGUUUUUUGUUUCAGUCUCUCUCGGAAAAUAGCAGAGCAUUUGGAUUCUGGUAAAAUGAAGUUGGAUUUGAGGAAUCAAAGAAAUGAGAGGAAAGGGUAGGAAGAAAAUGAGGGUAUCUUUGAUUGCCUCCUCACAUGUCGGGUUAUUUAAGCCUAACAUUUUGGGUGAUGUGGGAUGUGGGGCGUGGGACGUUGGGCUCAACACGUGGACAUUAUGCUUUGAUAUCGCAUCAAAAUAUGAGCAUGCAACCCAAAACUAAUCGACAAUGAAUUAGUAAUUCAAUUCCCCGAUAUGGGAGGAUCCUCAAAUAAAUGCAGCAUAAGGUUUCAUGAAGUAUUACAACAUCGAGUUUCGUUAACUUGGUAGUCAAGUAUCAUGCUCGAUAUCAUUUCGCAUAUCAAAUUUAAAGUUCGCCUAGAGCUAGUGAUUUUCUUUUUGACACUAGAAAUCCGAUUUUUUUUUUAAUAGAAUCGUUUACUAAAGAAAAUCAAAUCAUUAUAAGCGGUGUAAUUUAAGCCUGAACCAAUAUUUUCAUUUAUUAAAGAAAUCACAGAAGAAGAUACUCUUGCACUCCAGAAUCAAUAUUUUUAUCAUUAUCAAAGUAAUAUCUACCUGUAAAUUCCUCAAGUUUGUCUGGAUUCAUUGUAUCUGCUAGCUGUUCAUAGCUUUGCACUUGUUUUAGGGAUUUAAUUACUGCCAUAAAAUACUUAAUUUUAAGGAUUUAAUUACUGCAGUAAAUUGCUUAAGUAAAUGCAUUUACUUGCUAUUAUUGGCCAACUCUUGUAAAUAUAAAAUCUCCCCUCUAUGAGAUGAAUAAUUCUCAGAAAAUUCACAGCCUUUUCGGACCGACUGCUAGCUUCUUUUAAGGUACGGGUCAUGCUAGGGAGACCAACUUUAGAUACCAACUUGUGUACCAACUCUCUAAUAGAGGUGGAGCCCACCAAUACAAUGGGGUCCCACACUCUAUUAAAAGAGUUGGUACACAAGUUGGUAUCUAAAGUUGGUCUCCCUAGCAUUUUCCUUAAGGUACAUACUGCUAGCUCCAAACUUUUUGCCUUUUUCUUUUUUUUCUUUUUUUUGUCACUCGUUAAUUUAUUUAUGUAUACUACUGCAGGUGUAAAUAUUAGCAGGCACUCCGUAAGCAGAAAGUGAUGGCAGCAGUGCCUUGGGUUGCACUCUUUCUGUCCUUUGCAGCAACCAUCCACAACCAUAUAGGCCUUGUGGAAGCUUCAGUUGACAUAGGUGUUUGCUAUGGAAUGUUAGGAGAUGACCUCCCUGCUGCUACAGAAGUGGUUAAUCUGUACAAAAUAAACGGUAUCGGCAAGAUGAGGCUCUUUGAUCCUAAUCCGGCCGCACUCGAAGCACUGAGAGGGAAAGAAAUUGAUGUCAGUCUAGGCAUUCGAAACGAAGACUUGCCCCAAUUGACAGGAAGUGCAGAUGCUGUGAACUCAUGGUUUGCAACCAAUGUAGAGCCCUACCUGAAUGACAUUGUCUUCAAUUACAUUUCUGUUGGCAAUGAGGUUAUUCCAGGGUCCUUAGGCAUCUAUGUUUUGCCUGUAAUGCAGUCUCUACAGAAAAUUCUCGAUGAUAGAAACUUGGCUGGUAUUAAGGUGUCCACAGUUGUGCCAGGGUCUGCCUUAGGAGUUUCAUUUCCACCUUCAAGUGGCGAGUUCGCACUAGAGGCAAGCAGUGUCAUGAGUGGCAUUGUUGCAUUUUUAGCACAGCGAGGAUCACCCCUUCUGAUCAAUGUGUAUCCCUACUUUUCUUAUGCAUCAGACCCUGUCAAUAUUCGCUUAGACUAUGCUCAAUUUACCGCAACAAGUCCAGUGGUUAAGGAUGGGGAGUUGAGCUAUUAUAACCUGUUUGAUGCCGCAGUUGAUUCUUUUCUGGCAGCAAUGGAAAAAGUAGGCGGGGCAAAUGUCGAUGUGGUGGUGUCUGAGAGUGGUUGGCCUUCUGAUGGGAAUGGAAAUUUCACCACUCCAGAACUUGCAGGGACAUAUAACAGGAACUUCUUGAAACAUAUAACCUCAAACGCUGGGACACCGAAAAGACCUGGUGCUUACAUUGAGGGGUACAUUUUUGCCAUGUUCAAUGAGAAUCAGAAACCUGAAGGUGUGGAGCAGCAUUUCGGACUUUUUCAUCCUAACAUGCAACCUGUUUAUUCUAUAUAUUAAAGAUCCAAGACCAAGCACAUCAGCUAUCUUAGCCUAGUGGUAGUUUUCUUCCCAACAUCGAAUUAGGUCUAAAGUUCGAAUUCCCUCCCUACUCCCUCCCAUCAACUUAGUAUAGUGGUAGUUCUCUUCCCAACAUAGUAUUAGGUCCCAAGUUCAAAUUAUUUUCCCAUUCAUGACAAAUCAUGUAUCGAUAACAUAUCAAUAAAGAGUUAAUUAUGCAUUCAAACAUCUGAAAUCUCUGUGUUUUUUUUUUCUUGUGAGUUAUCUGAUCUUGUAUUUUUGAACAUUACAACAUUGACUAUUUAAGGUUUGGGUUGGUUUAUACACAGUAACCAAAUUAUAUUAUCCUGCUCACUUGAAUGGCUUUGAAAUGAUCUCUGUUCUUUUCUUUUUUAUUUAUCUCUGAACAAGUAAUUUAUUUUUUUAAACCGGGUAAUACAAUAUCCACAAAGAACAAGAAAAGUUUCAAAACCAAGAGAGUGGUUCCCCUUUCCCAGUUGCUUUGCUCUGAAAAGGGUAGUUUGUAUUGUAUGUACCCAACAACAGGUUCUUGGGUGUAGAAAGUCUUCCUGUUGUACUUGGUCAAGGGUGCAUUAAGCUUAAAUCUCAAAACCCAGUCAAGGUUUGAGAUAAAAAGGUGACCAUACGACACUAAAAGCAUCCCAGCAACAAACAUACCCUGUUAAGCUUUUCUUAAAGUCCUAUCUACCAUGAAACCUGUUUAUCCUUUAUUUUAAGACCAGGAGUCCAAGACAGGACAGGUUUCAUGGGAAUUCAUGAGUUCAUGCAGAAAACCAAAGCUUCAUAAGGGAAAAUGGACAACUAAACUUUUGCACCUUCUGUUUGUUCACAACAUUUCCUUAUGGAGAAAAAAAUAUAAAAGGAAUGGUACAAUGAAUAACAUGCAUCCACAGAAAAUUUUCCAUUGGAUUGUCUUAGUUAAUUUGUGCACCUACAUAGAACACAGGUUAGCAUUCUAAAUCAUUCCAAAUUUGCUCUUUUCCAAAAAAGUUCAUACUUAUCUUAACCUCUACUUAAUAUAUAAUGCCAGAUACGUAAACAAAACCUCAUGUAGAUGCUGUAGUUCACCUGUGUAUUGUCUCUCAAUUAGGACAGAACACCUAAAGCCAGACAAGCUUCAUGGACGUAGACAGUAAGAAAACUCCAAGCCAGAAAAUCCAGUCUCAAAAGAGGCACAUUAGUUGAACCUUGUACUUGUUACAUAACACAUUGUUGGUAUAUAUAUAGGAGUGGACACUUAGCAAAUACUCAAGUUAGUUAAGGUAGACAGACUCCAAUUUUCGUUAUCUGGAUCAGGAAAUCUAAUCCUUCCUGCAGCAACCGGUGUGCACCAUAAAGCCGAUCAGUGUUCCUUGAGGUAGUAUCUUCAUGCUAGCUCCACACGUUUUGCUUUCUUGUGUGUCAAACAUUAAUUUAUUAAGUGCACUUAUGCAGGUUUAACAGGCACUCAGCAAUCAGAAAGUGAUGGCAGUACUGCAUUGGGUUGCAAUCAUUUUGUCCUUCGUAGCAGCUAGUCACAACCGUAUAGGCCUUGUGGAAGCUUCAAUUGACAUAGGUGUUUGCUAUGGAAUGUUAGGGAAUGACCUGCCUUCUCCAACACAAGUGGUAAAUCUCUACAAAACAUAUGGUAUUGGAAAGAUGAGGCUCUUUGAUCCUAACCCAGAAGCACUCCAAGCACUCAGAGGAAGCCAAAUUGAUGUCAGUAUAGGCAUUCGAAAUGAAGACUUACCCAGUUUGGCAGUUAGUCAAGAUGCUGUAAACUCAUGGUUUGCAACCCACGUAGAGCCUUACCUUAAUGACAUUGUCUUCAAUCACAUUACGGUUGGCAAUGAGAUUAUUCCCGGGUCCUCAGGCAACUAUGUUCUGCCUGUAAUGCAGUAUCUACAGAAGAUUCUCGACGAUAGAAGCUUGGCUGGUAUUAAGGUGACUACUGUUGUCUCAGGGGCUGCCUUAGGAGUUUCAUAUCCACCUUCAAGUGGUGCAUUCACACUAGAGGCCAGCAGUACCAUGAGUGGCAUUCUUCCGCUUUUAGCACAACGAGGAUCACCCCUUAUGAUCAAUGUGUAUCCUUACUUUGCCUACGCAUCAGAUCCUGUCAAUGUUCACUUAGACUAUGCUCAAUUUACUGCAACAAGUCCUGUGGUUCAAGAUGGGACGUUGAGCUAUUAUAACUUGUUUGAUGCCACAGUUGAUGCUUUUAUUGCAGCAAUGGAGAAAGUAGGCGGAGCUAACGUCGAUGUGGUGGUGUCUGAGAGUGGUUGGCCUUCUGAUGGGAAUGGAGAUUUCACUACUCCAGAACUUGCAGGGACAUAUAACAGGAAUUUAUUGAAGCAGGUAACCUCAAGGGCAGGGACACCAAAAAGACCUGGUGCUUACAUUGAAGCCUACAUUUUUGCCAUGUUCAAUGAGAAUCAAAAACCUGAUGGUGUGGAGCAACAUUUUGGGCUUUUUCAUCCUAACAUGAAACCUGUUUAUCCUGUAUUUUAAAGAUUCAGAACAAAAUAUCCUUCAUGUAUUAAUAAAGAUAUAGUUACACAAACAUCUCUAACAUUUUUUUGUGAGUUUUCCACUUGAUUUGAACUCUACAUCUGAAAAUUACAACACUGAGAAUUUAAGGUUUGGGUUUUGGUUUACAAAGCAAUAAGCAGAUAAAACUACCUCAGAAUCAUGUCGCGUAAAAUCAUGAAACCAAAUUUAACUACAUUAUUUAUACCAAAUAAUACAAUAUCCAAAAGGUAAAAGUACCAUUUCCAAAACACAAAAAUCAGAGGCGGGAGAGUGGUUCCUCUUUCCCAUUUGCAUUGCUCAGAAAAGGGUAGUCUGUGUACCCAACAACAGGGUCUUGCGUGUAGAAAGUCUUCCUGUUAUACCUGGUCAAAGGUGCAUUAAGCUUCAAUCUCAAAACCAAGUCGGGGUUCGAGAUAAAAAGGCGACCAUAAGACACUAAAUCAGCAUCCCUAGAAGCCACAGCAUGAAUUCCAAGCUCCCUAGUGUACCCACCACUAGCAACAAAUGUACCACGAUAAGCAUUUCUUAAAGUCCUCAUAAACACAGCUUCCUCUUCAUCACUGCCAGGUUUGCCAGAUUCGGUUUGGCCAUAUGCUGCGUAACGGGGCUGAGUAACAUGGAGAUAAGUGAGUUUUGAGCCCCAGUCUUGUUGAAGCUUGUUGAGCCUUUCAAUCACUCCAAGGCCUAGGGUAAGUGGAGCAGAGUCAACUGCAUCAAGGUGAUCAAUGGCUGGUGAGAUUCUGACACCAACCCUAUCAGCACCUACGGCUCCAACUACUGCUUGAACCACCUGAAGCAAGAAUUUGCAACGGUUUGCAAGUGAUCCGCCAUACUCAUCUGUUCGAUCAUUGAUCCCAUCUUUCAAGAAUUGAUCAAUGAGGUAGCCAUGUGCCCCAUGAAUCUCAAUUCCAUCAAAACCUACACAUCAUAAGAUUCAAAAUUAAAGCUUACUAGUAAGCACAAAGGUGACAUGCGCUUGACAAAAUCAUUGUAUGAAUUGAGAGAAACCGACCUGCUCUAAUGGCAUUCAAGGCAGCCUGUCGAUAAUGCUCCACCACUUGGAGGAUUUCAGGGGUUUCUAAGCGUCUAGGCUUAGGGUAAGUGGCAUGAGACGCAUCCGGUAAUAGAAUUCUCCACCUCCUCGAAAUGGGAACAUCGGUUGAAGAUAUUGGUGAACCCCCACCAGGUUGGUAAACUACAUCAAUUGACAAAUUACAAGUAAAAAUGGUCACUGAAAUGCUCCAAGCUUUAGACAAAAACUACCAUAAGAAUUGCCAAAUAAAGGACUAGGGUAGUUACCUUCAUGAGAAGCACGACCUACAUGCCAAAGUUGACAGAAAAUAAUGGCACCUUUGGCGUGAACGGCAUCCACCACCUUCUUCCAUGCCUCCACCUGUUCAUCAUUGUAAAUCCCAGGAACAUGUGGAAACCUGCAUCCACCUUAACAUUUAGUAUCACUUUGUAAAAUUCCCACUUCAAAUAACUUUAAGCUAUCUAGCAUAGCAUGUUACGUUGUCGGAUUGUAAAUCAAGUAAAAUAAUAGACCCGUCCGAUUAACUAACAGCCUUAAUUUAUAAUUUGAUAAGUAAAAUCCAGUAAAUUAUAAACAUUGAUUACUUAUGGAUGAGCAAUUAUAGGAAACUAGUUCUAUCUAGUCAAUAUUUGCAAGCAAACAAUUUCUAGUUCUAGUUUACAAGUCAAAGUCAACAUUAUGGACCAAAGUUCUUAGACGAAAAGCUCCUUAAGCCCAAUAGGUCCGAACUACACAAAGUGGGGCCCAACUUGGCAAAGCUUGCUAAUCAUUGAUGAAUACGAAAGAGACACUUAGCAAACAACAAAAAUUACAAAAUUACCCGGCGCCAGUGUCGGAGACCAAAGUGCCUUCGGUGAUCAGAAAGCCGCCGUUGGUUGACCUUUGAGUGUAGUACUCGGCCAGCGCCGGCUGCGGCAAGCCGUUCAACGCUCGGCACCUCGUCAUCGGCGCAAGCACCACCCUGCCAAGGUCAAAUCCGUCAAAACACACCCCAAAGCCAAACAAUUAAAUGAUAAUUAUGCCCUCCCGGAUUUCUCCCCGCUUUUUUCAAAUUCCCGAGGAAAUCGGAAACACCAAGUGGGACCAGAGUUUCAUGUCCGAUGAAAGAAAAAGAGGAGCAGCUAACUCGACUCGAUGCAGCCGCGAAACACUGGAUCAGGUAUGACUGACCUGUGAGACAGAUUGAACUUGCCCAUCUUGAACGGAGAAAAGAGAGUGGGUCCCUGAGAUGAAGCCUCCGCCAUUUUUAGUUCAGACACCGAUCUCAGAUCAAACGAUCGAAAGGCCAGAAAUGAAGUGAGAUCAAAGAAGAAUAAAAGGAGAGAGCUUUUAUAGGAGGAAGCAGUGGCGAUCGGCUCGGCUAUCAAGGGCCGUCUGCGAUCCGACGGCUGUGGUCGGUUUCUGAAGUGUCACCGUGCUAUGAUGCUUUGGCUGCUCUUGUUAGUGGGAUUUUAAUGGUGGUGGUCGGCAACUGUGGGCGGGACCCACAGAGGGAUGUUUCCAUUGCAACGGCAAUGAGAUUCACGUGCGGAUUUAUUUAUGGCCGGUGUCGUUUUGGUUUCUAACUUGGAAUGUUUAAGACGUGUUUGACCGUCGAGCGUUGACUGGACUCGGGUGUUGACGAUGCUGUAGUCUAGUCGGGUCGGGCACCGGCAGGAGAUUGAGUUGGGUUUUGAUUUUGAUAUUGGGCCAGUUACGCUCAUUAUGUCGAAUUUUUAAUGCAUGAGGGGCCUCUUUGGAAAUUGAGAGGCCUGGCCCACUAUUUUAUUCUUGUUGCAAUUGAAACCCCCAAAAUAAAAAUGCCAAAAAUGAGAUGACCAUUAAAAAUAGAAACCCUUGUUGUUUUCUUUUGUAAUGUUAUGUUGUUUAAGAGCACUGGCAGCGCAAGACCCAACCCGGGUAGAAGGGCCCCCAGGCGAGCCCAACACAGCUCCAGCGCGAGGAAGAGAGCCCAGGCAGCUGCUGGGUCCCACGAGCCCGGGCAGGCCCAAAGGCAACUUUAGCCUGGGCUUCAGCCCGAGUUGGAUGACGUCAUGCUGACGUCAUCCCUGACAGCAACCAACUGUAACAAGCCACGUGUCGCGCCAGGGACGCUCCGAUGGAUUUUUUUCCAGAAAUCCGACGGUCCUCGUUUUUUUUGCUAAAAAAAUUGCAAAAAAAUUCUGAAAAAUUCUGAAAUUUUUUUUAAAAAAUACCAAAAAAUUAUGUAUUUUUUCCCUAUAAAUACCUAACCAUUUUAUUUACUUUCCACACAAAAUCUUCAUACAAUUCUUCUCCAUCCCCAAUAUUUUUUACUCUCCACUCACAUUAUUCACUUUCCUCACCAAUUCUCCACACAAACUAUUCUCCUUCCAAUAUUUCUUACUCUUCACUCACAUUUUUCACUUCCCACACCAAUUCUCCAUACAAACUCUUCUCCUUCCAAUAUUUUUUAUCCUCCACUCACAUUUUUCUACUACUUUCCAUUUGUAAAAAGAAAAAAAAAAUCUUAUCUGAAAUAUGAGAUUAUAAUUUUUUUAAAAUAUCUGAAAAUCUUAUCUGACAUGGGACACGUGGUACAAUUUUAGAGGGUGAAAAUGUUAUAUGAAAUCUGAGAUUAUAAUUUUUUUUAAUGAAUAUCUGAAAAUUUUAUCUGGAAUAAGACACGUGGCAAUCGAGAUUCUCAUCCGAAAAUCUUUUCUUAAAACAAUGGACACGUGACAACCAAAAAUAUUAUCCGAAAAUUUAAUUACAAAAGAUUAUCAAAAUUAAUGGUUUAAAGUAUUAAAAAAAUAGGAAAUAAAGUACAAUGAAUAGUAUUUGCCCUAGACUUAGCCCUCAUGGGUGGAACCACAAAUGGCAAGGCUGCCACUAUUCAUGUGAAUAGUGACAGCCCUUGCUUGCCCUUGCCUUAGACUUUGCCCUUAGGGGUGGAGUUGCUCUAAGAGGUGGGAAAUAUUUUCAUCAACAAUUUUUGUAUCCGUCCGGCGCAGUGUGUCCGACACUAAUACAUAACACGAAUUCGACACUAGCAGAACAUAUUUUGUUGAUUAUAAAAAAAUAUAACAUGAAACAAAAUAUAUUGAUAUUGAUAUUUAAUUGAUGCGAUUGCGGUCUGAAUCUGGGACAAGGAUAAGCGUGUAAGCAAUGACUUUUCUUUUUCUUCUGGAUAAAAAUCUACAAUAUCAUUAUCAGUUAUCAUGAUGUAAAAAGAUUGGUAUCCUAUCCAUCCAUCCAUCCAUCCGCUAGAGAGAGACUCCCAAGAGUUGCAAAGGAAGACUGGUUUGAUUAUUUGUGGCCCCGAAGUCAGCAGCGAGCAGUUUGCCCUUUUGGGAAGAUGUACAUGCAUGGGAUGAAAAGUCAUAAAUAAACAGCACACCUCUGUGAUUUGACUGUUAAAUUCAAUUUCCAUUAUAAAUUAAAUAAAUAAAUUCAAUUGGGAUUCAAAGUCAAUUAAGAUUGGAUCCAAGACUUGCACAAAAAUUGAUAUGAGUAUAUUAUUGAAAAACUCCAUCCUUCUAGAUUUUUUUAUUUUUUAUUUAUUUUUUAUUUUUUCUUUUGAGUCAGUCUUUAUGUUCGAAUCUCUAUUGACAGUGUAGAUGAGAAAAUCUUUUUCUCCAAUAUCACUUAUAUAUAUGUAUAUAAUAUAAAAAACUCAUAAUUAUGGUUGGUUAGAUUCUGUCUUGCAUAGAUCAAUCUCUAUCCCAUAUUUAUGGUAAAGCUAUUUUCAUUCACAUGCACUCCUCAAUGGACAAAUCAUAAUAAUUUGCUUUCUUGCAAAUUUGGUUUGUCUCUAUUUUGCUAUGGUGUUGUUGGUAGGUGCAAUUAAGAAUGUUGAAAGCUUAAAACAGAUAAAAAUGGCUAAGGUACAACCCACAGUGUUUUGUUGCCCUAGCAAUGAUGUAGUCAUGUUGGUGAUCAGACUUGGAGCUAUCUCAAACUGAAGUGGUGUGUGGUCCCCACUCCUACAACAUGAGUAGGAAGGGAACAACUUUGUCACACCCUCAUCAUACCACACACAUCCAUGUCCAACUCUCUAAAUCAUGAAAAAUAAAAAAGGAAAUACAAAAAAUACCAACAAAAAAAAUUAUGAGUUAAAAUAUAAAUACCCUUUGAGUGAAAAGAAAAAAACCCAUUGAGCCACGUGUCCCGGUACCACUGUAUGCGGUGCAAGCGUCUACACCUCACCAACCCCCCGCUACGUCCCAAAAAUCUCCACUGAAGAAUGGCGCAGUGCGCGCCGUGUGUACCAGAUAGAGAGGGCAACGCCGCUUGUAAAUAUAUUAUUAUUAUUAUAAAAAAAAAAACUACGAAAAUUCGACAAAAUAAAUAUAAAAUUAGGAGCAAGGCGGGGCCCAGUGGGAUGCACUGCAUAGGAUGCCCAUCGUACAUCUGUUACCAAACAGGCAGAAAAAAGGGUACUCUUUUGUGAGUCCAAUUUUUCUGUUUCUAAUUUCCAUGUGCACUCCAUGUUUCCUAUCUUAUGUUUUUUUACACCAAUCUCUCCACUAAUUUCUAACUUCAACACUGUUAACUUAAAUUAAAAAAACAAAAAUUAAACAGCCGCCACCGCCCCCCACCCAUCCAACAUGGUCAGCCAUCCACCCCAUCGGCGCCAAGAAGGAGAUGAGAAGAGAUGUGAGAGGAGAGGGGUUGCCGAUGGUGGGGUUGGGUAGGGGCUGUGGUGGCUGUUGGGUGUUUAUUUUUCCUUUAAUAAUUAACUUUUAUUUUGUUAAUUUUAUUUAAAGUUAGAAGUUAAUGAGUGACAAGUGUCAAAAAAUUAGAUGAAAAACAGGAUGGCACAAGGAAAUUGAAAUAGAAAAAAAUUGACCAGAAUAGUAAAACAGUGCUAUCCCUUUUUACGCAUGUUUCUCCAAACAGACCUGUAAAUAAUCCGGAAUAAGAAAAAGUUCACACCGUUACGCGCAAAAACACAAACCAAGCAAACAAGGAAAAAAGCAACUGCCGUUACUCUGACCGUCCCUCGUUUUUCUUCUUCGCAGCUUUUUUUAUUCUUUUUUCGACGCACAUGAGGCCUCUCUAUAUAGAGAUAUAUAUAUAUAUAUAUAGUUAAAUGAUUUAUUUUCUAAGUUUUGGUUCGUAAUUUCAUUUAAUUUUUGGUCCGGAAACUCUUCGCAAUUAAACUAAUUGAUUAAAGUUUAAAGCGGAUUAAUUUAUCACCAUCAUCCUCGCUCUCUUCUCCAUUUCGUUUCUUUGAGGAGAAGCAGAAGAACGAAAGCUUUGUUAUGGCCGCCGGAGAUUUCUCUCUCUGAAAUUCUUUCUUGAAUUUUAAGGGAAUUCAGAGGUGGGUUUAUAGUUUUGUAUUUCUCUGAGUUUAUUGUGUGCCAUGUUCGAUUUUCUAUAUUCUAAAGUUGCAAUCUUUUCCUUUUUCAUCCUGAUAAUAAAUUUUCAAUUUUACAAUAAAUAAUUGGUCUGCUAUGCUUGAAUUGUAUGGUAUCUUGUUGAACAUCAUCCAAUAUAGCAAGCAAAAAGUGAAAUUUGUUCUCUUUCUCUCUUAUAUCUGGGGGUUCAGGGAGCUUGUGUAACUGAAACAGCUGGAUAUAAGAAAGUUAACUGAUCAAUUUUAAGACAAAAAGAAUAACGUUUAAAGUCUUUAGCUUUUGAGUUAACAUCUAGCUCAAGAUUAUUAAUCUUUUGUUUCAAAUUGUUGGAAAAUCAUAUAUCUUUGUCUAUGUUUAUAUGUUCAUGUGUUGGAAAUUCUUGUAGAGUUCAGGAAUACUUGUAAAGUUAAAAGCAUGGUUGCAGUGAACAUCAAAGGUUCAAGAUUUAAGUAGGAAUAGCAUGAAAUUAAUUGUUCCAGAGUUCCUGCUUUGAAUUAUAAAGUAUCCCUGCUCUAUGUGUUCACAGUUUCCUGUGUUAAUUGUACUUGUAGCGGGACAGUCUUGAUAAUUAGAAAUAUCAAUGGUUUUGCUAAUGACUUGUAUUGUUGAAGCUUUGAAUCUUUGUUAAUGUUGAAUUUUUUGAUAGGAGGGAAGCCUUUUUGUAUGGAUAAAGAAGAAGAAACUGGUAGCCCUAGUUGGGGUGCUUCGUUUUUCGCACAAACGGAAGAUGUUGCUAGAGCAGUUGCUGCUGUAGCAGCCGCUGCUACUGCCACUCAUUCUCCGAGGCCAUCUGUUGUAUAUUCAUCAAACGAUGAUGGUGGUAAUAGCCCACUUAAAAGACUACAACGCCAUGUUACAAAUGUGCUAAAAGGUUUCUCACAUCCUCCUGAAGUGAAACGUGGAACCUACAAUCCAGAAGUUUUGACUAGCCAGAAGCGCCAAUGGGCAAGCUUUCAGUUGCAGUACUUGGUAUGCAAUUUUGUUAAUUGGUUGCUUAUUUUAUUUCUUAUUUGUGUAUGCAAUUCAGAAAUUGAUUAAUCAAGAAUCAAAGAUGAUUUUUUGUUUUAUUUUUCUUGUUUACAUUGGAACAUCUUUCACGUUCAACAGCUAUACAGCUAUUUCUAAUUACAGUUGUUACUUCAUAUUUUUCUUUUAAAAUUUUUAGAAUAGAACAAUUUAAGGAAAAAUGACAAUUAUAUAUGCUCGCUGUGAGUUUAAGGGUCAUAUGAUACCCUGAGACAUUUUUGUCUGAUAGUUCAGCGGUCAUAUGAUAACCUGAGACAUUUCUUCUUAAAAGUUCAGGGUUUCUGUAUUGUUAGUUUUGAAAUACAUUCACAUAUGAAACAAAAAUUUCAUCCAAAGAGAUUCUGUAACACCUCUGCUAUUUAAGUGUGCAGGAUCAUAGGUCUUUAAAGCUGCCGACAAGGCUUUUCGAGAGCAUGGUUGUUUUGGGGCUUCACCCAAAUUGUGAUGUUCAGGCACUUCAAAGGCAAUAUAUUGCAAGAAAGCAUGAGGGUUUAGGAAGAUUGCGCAGUUCACGUAGUAGUCAGAAUUUCUCUCGUGUGGAACCCAAUCUUGAACCUCAGGUGGGGAUUCUUGUUGCCAAAUAUUCAAUUUGUUUGCAUAUUGACGCUUGCAAGCAAUUUGAGUAGUGGGUAUUAAUAUUCAUUUCUACUUCCAGGUGUUAUUUGUUUAUCCUCCGGAAAAGCAGGUGCCUCUACAAUACAAGGAUCUCCUUUCAUUUUGCUUCCCUGGAGGCGUAGAGGUAAGGUGUUCUCUUGAUGGAUGUUUUGCCACUUGUUCUGUUUAAUUGAUCAGUUUAAUUUUAGGGAUUUAAGAUGGAUGAGCUUUUUCUUUUUUUCUCCUUAAAUCUAUUUAAGAGGAACUCCUUUUGUAAAGCUUAGGUUACAGAGAAUGAUUAUAUAACUUAGCUUGAUCUCGAUGGUAAUAUUUACAAGGGUAAAAUACCUGAGCCUUUAAAUAUUGGAGAUGUUUACCUGAUAGGUUUGAAUGUAUUGUGUUAAUGUCUGUAUUUGAGAAGAAUUUCAGAUAACAAAUAAUUGAUAUUCUGAAUUAGUAUGCUUAUAUUGCUAAGGUUUUCGCAGCUUUUAUAUGGAGAACUUCUUCCGUUUAAGGAAAGUGGGGCCAGUUGUGUAAAUAUCAUAGUGCAAUAGCAACUUGAGUUUAGCCUGAUUUCUUGAUCUUCAGUUAAAUAAUAUCAUAGGCAAUAAAAGAGACGUUAUAUCAAGUUUUACUUGAUUAUGACUAGUACUUGGUGAGAGAUGUUAUUUUUGUCCUAUGUGCAGAUAUUGAUUUGUCUUGUUAAUAUUGUGUAUUUGUUAGUUAAGAUCUAGUUAGUCAUUAUGUGCUAAUAUUAACACCUUGGAUGUGAAUGGCUUCAGGUUCAUGCUGUUGAGAGAACUCCUUCUAUGAGUGAGUUGAAUGAAAUUCUUUUGGGGCAGGUAUAGUGCUACAUUAUGCUCCCAUAAUGUUGUCGAUUAAUGAUUAUGGACACUUAUAUUGACUAUGAUGAUGCUUAUUUGCAGGAGCAUUUUAAACGGACCGAUCUGUCCUUUGUAUUCCGGUUACAGGUAAAUUAUAGCAUGUUAUGUCUCCAGGAUUCCUUUUUCCUUGGAUUUUCCCCUGAUAUGUUUCAAGAUUUCUUUAUAACUUUAAUUCCCUGUGGCAGUUUCCAUUUGACUUAUAAACCCCUACACUAGUAGUGCUGGAUGAUAGAAUCAUCACUGCAGCCUGAAAAUUAUAAUUCAAACAACUUUUUGUCUAGUUGACUGCAAUUAUUAUUUGAGUUGUAUUUGUUCCCACAGAGAAGAAGAUUGGUAACAAAAUGCGAAGCAAAUUUAAGAGGAUUGAUUGUCUUCGUUAUCUUUGAUUAGAUUUAUAUAUGUUUAAAAUGUCAUUAAAAUUAACAGAUGUUAGGUAAGCCUAUUUCUACUUCAUGUGUAUGAACAGUUUAAUUUUUAGUUGUGAAUUAUGCUCAUUUCCUGGAUGACCCAUUUUGUACAAUAUUGGUUUGAAGGUUGCUGAUGACUCAACAUUGUAUGGAUGCUGCGUGUUAGUGGAGGAGCUAGUGCAAAAACCUUCUGGAUUGCUUUCCAUGAUAGCAGAGAAACAUCCUUCUCGCCCAUCUUUGAGUCGCCAUAUAUUAACCACUAAGAGAUGCUAUUGCAUUCUCUCAAGGGUUCCCUCAUUUGAAUUACAUUUUGGUGUAUUGAAUAGGUGUGUUUAUGUCAUAUUGAAUGCUUAUAAAAAACAUAUUUAUCUCAGUGAUUUGCGUUUUUCAUUUUAACUUUGAAAUGUAUUCUAAUCCCCUCUAGACUUUCGUAUAAUUAAUGUGUUCCUCUGCUAUCUAAUCAUGCAUGAAGUUGAAGAUCGUAUUAUUAAAUUGUCUGAGAAAAAAAAAAAAAAGAGAUUCAUUUCUUAGUUCAGUGAGAAAAAAGAAAUUGUAGCAACUUCAAUAGAACACAUAAAAGCUUUUAACUACCAGUUUAUCACAAGAUCCAAAUUUAUUGAGCGACUGGUGCAUGGUUUUGUGUGAGGGGAAUGUGUAUGCUCCACUGUUUGGCCCCAUAAUUUGACAUUCUUCUUUUACUAUUUGAUACCAACAUAUAACUUUGCAAUUCAUCUGUUGCUCAACUUGACUAUGUUUGCUAUUCCCCUGUAGCAUCUUCACAGAAGAAAGGUUGGAACGAUUAACGAAAGGUAUUGAUCUUUUAGAUUUAGAAACCCCAAAGGAUUAUGGCAAUGGCGAAAUUUUAGAAGAAAAUACAGAAGAAACUUCACACAGCGUAUCACUAAGUAGUAGAACUGAGGAGAACAUGGUGAAUAGAACAGCAGAGUUUUCUCAAUCAAGUUUAAAAGAUUCUUCAUUUGGGAGAGUUGCAGAUAAUGGCAUUCACCUAGAGAAUCAAAUGCUUGAUGGGGAUUUUAACUUGUUGAAGGGAAGGGUGAUUGAAAACGUUGUUGUUCCAAUUGAUCCUGAAACCAAGACGGCCAGUUCCAAGAGAGAAUCUGAUGUUGCAAAUGCUGAAGUUUCUGAGGUCUAUGUUGAUGAUUUCUCUGCAAACAAGCAAACUGUAGAAAGGCGAUUACCAAACGCUGUUCUACCUCUCCUGCGUUAUUAUCAGUAUGAAAGCUCUGAAUCUUCCUCCAGGUAGAUCAUUGUUGUUCUUUGGUGCCUUUUCACUUGUAUUUCAUGCUUUUUAUUACUUGCAUUAGUAGUUAUUAUCUUUUCUCUCUCUCACUAAUUCUUGGAGCAGAGAAUUGCACUUUUUUCUUUGAGCUACUUCAAGUUGCUGCACUCAUGCCAUUUAUUAGUGUUUUAUGCAGUUUUCAGGGCUCUCCCAGCGAGGACAGAAAUUUUAGGAGUGAUGUUGAUGAUACAGAGACGGAAGAGGCAUCUUUCUCUGGCCAAGAUGAUUCUGACCUCAUUGAUAUUCUUGAAUGGGCUAAGGUGAAAAAUGAACUUUUCCUUUUUGGAUCUAGAUAUGAUUCUAAGCUCUUUGUAACAAGAAUCUUGUGCCCAGGCGUUCUCUUGACAAAUUUUUCCCAAAUUUUCAGGCAAACAAUCAUGGAUCAUUACAGAUAAUAAGCGAGUACUACCAAUUACGUUGCCCUGCUAGAGGUUCCACUGUUAGAUUUCAUCCUUUGGAGCACUUGCAUCCCUUGGAAUAUCAUAGACCAGAAACAACCGUUUUACAUAUUGCUGGCUCAACCAUUGAUUUGAGAUCGUGCAGUACAAGUCUAGAAUUUGCUGAGGUAGAUGGUGAUGAUAGCUUUAAGAAACUUUCCAAUUUGAUAUGUGGUGGAUUUGGUUGAACUUUUGAUUGAUUAUGUCCCGGUUCCAGACAUGAUUAAUCAUUCACAUUGCAUUGCUGUUGAUUAUUAUUAGGCACAGGGUGCACUCUCGGUAGAGGAGGAAGCAACUGCAUUAUCAGUAUGGGCUAUUGCAUGCAUAUGUGGCUCCUUACGGCUUGAAAAUGUUAGUUAAUGGCUCAACAUCACAUGAGUUCUACAGACUUCAUUGAUUAUAUUGUUAUCUUUUCCCGUUUCUUGGAACUAGUUAAUAGCUUGGCCAGUGCUAUUUAAAGUUUCUCAUAGGUUAACACUGUUUUGUUGAAAUAAUUUUUUUUAAUUAAACAAAAUGGAUUUAUUUGUUUUCAACCAACAAGGUAAAUUCGUUUUGUUAUGCUGACAGUUGAAACUGAUAGUGGCGUCUACACUUAUAAGCUAAUUGAAACUGUAGAAUUACUGCAUGAGUAAAACUGGCUCCAACAUUUACAACAUUUAUGAAGCGGGAAUCAAUUUAAAAUCUCCUCAAAGGAAUCAUUAAUUACAAUGUUGUAAGAGUGGAAUGAUAUCCUGCGUAUUAUUUGUGGGUAUUGUGCAGUGUCAGAAUGUUUUCGUUAGUAUAUUAUAUUGAAUGUACAGUUAUAUGAAUGCAUGUAGAUUUGUGUGUGCCUGCUUCAUGUCUGACUUUGGAUUAUUGAUUCUCCUCAUACUUCGCAGGUAUUAACAUUGUUUGCAGGAGCACUGUUGGAGAAGCAGAUUGUAAUUAUUAGUUCCAAUUUGGUAUGUAUUAUAAAUUAUAUCAAGUUUAUAAUGUUUUGAUGAAGAUUAUCAAUCUGAUGCAUGUAUUCUUUUUUACUCGAUGUAAAUUUUAUCAGAGAAAUUUAUUGGAUUUAUUAACAUCUUGCCAAAUGCAUGUUCCAAAACAGAACUGUAUAAGUAUCAACUGCUGCUUAUUUCGUAACAAGCUGAAAAAGCUCAACCCAAAUGAAUUUAGUUGGAGGUAGUAAAGAACUGUAUAAGUUAGCCUCAGGCUAUAGGUGCAAGUUUGAACUUCCAAAACAGAGUGGCUCCUUUCUCAACAAGUCCCAGCAAGCGAGGCCUAAGGACCAGUUACACCCAUUUAUGUUGUUUAUUAGAGAUAGCUUGGCUUAGGAACUUUUUUUGAGUGACACUAGUGUUGCCAUCAUUAUUAGAUCGUAGUUUUGUUUAUUUAUCAAAAGAUCGUAUUGUUACUGUUUCAUUUGCUUAUGUACUUAUUUUUCGGUAAGCUAAUAUUUUAAUAUGGGUGUGGACUGUUCCAUUAUUUUUAAAUUUGUUCUAAUAAUUUAGUUCUUUGACUAAGAAAAAAGAUCUACAAAAGAAUUUACAUCAAUGCUUUCUGAUGUACAGGGUAUCUUAUCUGCCUCAGUAUUGUCAAUUAUCCCUCUGAUCCGUCCCUACCAGUGGCAAAGCCUGCUAAUGCCGGUAUGUUUUCCUUCUAGCCUACUGCCUGUGAGAUUUGUCCCAUGAGAAGUUACUUUUUUUAAACAUAAUAAUUUCAUUGCUGUUUUCAUGUGAAUAACAAUGUGCAUAUACUUUCUAGGUUUUACCAAAUGACAUGCUGGACUUUUUGGAUGCACCUGUCCCUUACAUAGUGAGUUCUCAAUUUGUUGGCUGUUAUGCCUAUUAGUGCCAUGGAUUAUGAAUUCAUGUUUGUUGGUUUAUCUGGACUCUGAAUUUCCUCAAGUUAUUAGUUGAAAGCAAAAUUUUUUAAUCGUUCACCAUAUGAUUUAAUCCUUAUCUGUAGGUUGGUGUGAAGAACAAAACAAAUGAAGUGCAGUCAAAACUAGCCAAUGUAAUUCUAGUUGAUGCAAACAAGAACCAGGUCUGUUGUUUUUUAAGCAGUUGUAUUUUUCUACUUAUAUUGCAGCUCAAAUAUGUUCAGACUGGUUAUUAACCGUAUGCCUUACAAUAAACAAAGCAGAAAGUUUCUAUAUAUUAGUUUACCAUUUCCCAUGCUUAUGUAUUAUCUAGUUUUUUGGAAUGGCUAGUAUUUAUCAAAAUGCAAAAUAUUCCUCUAAAAACAAAUAAAAUGCGAGUGUCUGAUCCUUUUCCCAUUGUGUGAUCUAAUAGGUGAAGUCACCAACACUACCUCAGUUACCACAACAUAAGGAAUUAUUUUCAUCCUUAAGUCCUUAUCAUGCAAAGCUUGUGGGAGAGAGUUUUUUGGCUAGGAAAAGGCCAGUGUAUGAGUGCACAGCUGAACAGGUGUGUUCUGCUUUGUUCUUUUUUGUCUGAUUUCAAAGUUUUUAAUUAUUUACCAUUAUUCUCAUGUGUUUAUUUGCCGCAUGUAGGUUGAAGCUGCCAAGGGUUUCCUAUCAGUGUUAAGAACUUACUUGGAUUCUCUGUGCUCUAACCUCCGUUCACACACAAUUACAAAUGUACAGUCGAAUGAUGAUAAGGUCAGUUUGUUGUCCAACUGUGAUAGCUGAAAUGCUGUAUAAGGAUAUUUAGGUUUUUUUGACCUUCUUUGGAAUGAUGAGUGGUAAAUAUAAUCUUCCAGAAAAAUGGCCAGGCACACACUCACAGACACACUGCUAGUCAUUAGAUAAGCUAGACUUCACUAGUAAUGAUGAUUGCUGUAAAAGUUUAGGUAAUAUAUGUCCUGAAACAAAUAUCACUAUAUUAUUCUGUUACACUGAGGGUGCAAUGUUGGCUAAUGUUAUUUUUCAAAUUUAUUUUUGUAUGCUUUACUUGUGAUGGACUAAGUUCUGUUGAAGUGUCAAUGGAACCUCAGCAUAAUACAUCCUUAUAUCAUUCACUUCGUACCUUCAGUUAUGUUGAAUUGAUAAGUGCAGAUCAAUUUGUCAAUUCUUUUGAAUGUGAAAUGCUUGCUCAUAUAUCUAGUGACAUUCAUAUGUGAAUGCACAAUCAUAUGGUGACUUGUCUUGGAAGAAUCCAAAUGUAUUGCUGCUGAUCUGACACUGAUUUUCUUGUAAUUAGGUAUCCUUACUUUUGAAGGAGAGUUUCAUCGACUCGUUUCCUAGUCGUGAUCGACCAUUUAUGAAGGUGUGUUCCAUGACAUAAUUUUCUUUUGUUUCUCUGAGUUAACUGAACAGCCCAUUGGCUUGAUCAUUCUAUAGAAUUAGCUAGCUGUUGGGAUUUUAGUCUUAUGUAUUUCCUUAAGGUCAUUAUUAUUGUUAUCUUAUUUUUUAUUUUUGCCUAUUUUCUGAAAGUAGUUUAUAAUAGAUGGUGUUGGUUUCUGUGUUCUGUGUUCGUAUUUGGAUGAGUGUAGUAUAGGAUGUCACGCUGAAGGCAUCUAAGUUUUUAGUCGAGUCAUGUAGAUAAAUCACUGAUUUAACCUCCUUUUUCUCUUCGUUUUUGAAAGUGACUUGUAAUGAUUCUUACUUCAAUGCUUACUCGGGAUGCUCUUUAAAUUGUAAUACAGCGGAAAGCAUACUGAUGUUUCCUUUUCUCCCUAAAUGCUAUGCAGCUUUUUGUGGACACUCAACUCUUUUCUGUACAUACGGAUCUUGUUCUCUCAUUCUUCCAGAAGGAAUAGUCCUAAUCUGAACAUACGCCAUGCUGAGGUCUGGCAGUGAGUUAUAUUUUCCUGUUGUAACCUGAACGUAAGUUCGGUAUGAUGUCAAAUUAUUAAGUGACAUAAUAUUCAAGAACUCAAUCUGGCUUCUUGAAAUGGCACUUCUCUUCCCCAAAUGAAAGUUGCCUGCUUCGCAUCGCGGCAUUCUGUAUCAUGAUGAACUUGUAUUCCAGCAUAUGAGAGAACUCGCAGAAUUCUGGUAUCCCGCUUGAAGUGUAAAUAGUAAUUUUGUUUUAUUUACUUGAGUUAGUAAAACAUGACUGUUUCACCGUUCCGAUUUAAUAAAAAUUUAGCGGUUGGUUAUUGAGACAUACCCGCCUUAUGCUGUUGUUCGGUGUGGCAGGCUGGUGCUUAACUUCUUGAGGAUAUGCACAUUGGUUGUGUGGGGGCCUUUUUUUUUUUCUUUUUUUUUCCCCCCCGGAUCUUAAACUAAGUUACUUUGAAUGGUGCUAACUGCAACAUUUCCUAAAAUCCUGCAAACAAAAAUAUACAGAACUUUUUCUCCACCAAUUCGACUUUACGAAGUCUUGAAAAUUUUUAGGUUUCCUGGUUAAGUUUCAUGCCAAAUCUCAUGUAUAAUUCUUGGAAUGCAUUCAGAAAUUUUACAGAGUAAUUAAAAAGAAAGAAUAUCAUACAACUUUUGAAUACAGUAACAGUCCAGGUUAAAAUACAUUAACUUGGAGGGAAGUGAAAAAAACAAAAAAAGGGUGUCUUUCAACCAGUGGUUGGGGAUACUUGAAGGGAUGUUUUUGGCUCAAGUGGGAUCAAUAUAAAAUAAAAAUAAAAAAAGGGGAAAGGUCGGUUUGCAUUGCAUGUGUUUCAGCCUGCCAGGUGAUCCAAGAACAGUGCUAGACAAUACCCUACUUGUGCAAUUUCCGAACGUACAAUACAAGAAUAGUUUCAGGGGCAAAUAAAUGCAACCAAACAUUAGGAACUCUCUUAAAUACUUUGGUUUUUUUGUUUUACUUUUAACACCCCAGCACCACCACCACUUUCAUUGAAUUCAGUUAUAUCAUCACUAUGAGGGUCCUAAUAAUGCAAGUCUUGGUCACCGCCAAUUCAAAGAUGGCCUUCUUCUAUUUUCAAAGUCAAUAUAUAUGUCUCUAUUAUUCUCAAACCCCCAAGUCAAAGUAUAACUAUAAGAGGAAAAGGAAACGCAGAGAAUAUAUUUUUCUCUUAUUUGUUUACAACUUUGGUCUGAGUUGUGAUGUAAUCUAAAUCAGAGAAGCAGUGUCUUCUGUUUACAAGUCUUGAACUUUGACUUGUUCCCUUGGUUGGUCAGUCACUUCACUUGUAUGCUUGCAAACCACUUAAGAUUAAAAAUAAAAAAAGUUUACUUGUAUUGUAUGCUUGCAAGCCACUGAUGAUCAUGGGCCUGCCUCCUGCCACAGGCCAAGGAAACCCAUUUAUUGAAGACUUGGAGUGAAAAGUUUCAUGUAUUUUAUUGCUCUCAAGUUCUCAACAAGGUUAGAGUUCUUCUGAUAAAAGUUUAUAACUUUAUAAGCUAAAGUGAACUGAGAAAAAAAGAAAACUCCUGUCCUUUGGAUCAGUAAUGACCCUUAAUCAUAAGGUUCAAAUCAACGGUUAAGAUCUGCACACUAGUUUAUAAUGCAGGAAAAAAAGAAACUUGUCUGAAGAAGAAGAAGAAAGAGAAGAAGACAAAGCAACCACAUGAGCAUUUGAAACAAAGAAAGCAAGCAAACAAUAAGAAAUAUAUAAGAAUAAUAAGUACAGUGAGGGUUGCUGUAUUUGAUCAGAACCCAAAAGCGGUCCUGCUCUGAAUCACUGGUUUUCUAAAUUUCCGAAAUUGAAAAAAAGGCCAGAGUGUAAGUGGGGGGUACUGGGGUCUGAGGUAAAGGAACAGAAAAAGUAAAAGAGUUAGUAGCAGUAAAAGCUCAAACCGUACAAUCUUCUGCUCACACAGGCAUUAGCUUCAGAUACCAACUCUAUAGUCUCUCAGACAGACAGACAUAAUAACACUGAAUAAUUAAAUAAUCUUUUUUCCUUUUUGUUUUUGUUUUUCAAUUUUUUUUAAACAUUUACAACUUCUUUAUUCACUUCCCUUUAGUUUAUGGAUUUCUGUAGAGUUGUCAGAGACAAGAGCUGCCACAGAGGCAGAAGCUUAGCUGCAGAACCAGAAGCAACAGAGGUGCAGUCAUAAUAUGAGCACAGAGGAGAGAGAGAGAGAGGAGGUGGCAAUGGCAUGCAGCACUGUAAUCAGAACCAUUAGUUUUAUCCAUGUACAGAAGAUUCUGCAGCUAAAUGGUCCCUGAAAUAAAUAUACCUACUCUACUCUCUCUGCUCUGCUCUACUCUCAAACUCAAAGGCCCUCCCUCUCCCUUUACUAAUAAUAUUGAAAUUGAAUCAUGCAAGUGCAGCCCAACCCCAUCCUGUUUCUCUCAUCUUUUCUCUCUUUCACUGCUCUGUGAAGUCUGAGACAACCAAGUUUCAUAUUUUUCUUUCCAAUUUGUUCUUUGGAGGAAACUUGCUUGCUCUUUCUUUCUGAUUUGGAAUUUCCCUGCCUCUUCAAUAAUAGUAAUGAGUGGGAGAACCAGGUUUCCUUUUACACCGUCUCAGUGGCAAGAGCUUGAGCACCAAGCUCUUAUCUACAAGUACAUGGUUUCAGGCAUCUCCAUCCCACCUGAUCUCCUCUUCUCCAUCAAAAGAAGCUGCUUGGACUCUCCUCUGCCUUCAAAGCUCUUCUCACACCACCCUCCGCAUAGUAAGCCAACUAGUACAACACCCCCCCCUUCCACCCCCCCUCCCCCCUUCUCUCUCUCUCUCCGCAUAGUAAGCCAACUAGUACAACACCCCCCCCUUCCACCCCCCCUCCCCCCUUCUCUCUCUCUCUCUCUCUCUCUCUCUCUCUCUCUCUCUCAUGUGUGUGCGCGCUAAGAAUGGAACUUUAGAGCUUUUUGAAUGAAUAAUAUUUUGGGUUUUGCUUACAAGAAGGUUCCUUGUUAUGUUUGUGUGGAUUUUGCAGUUGGAUGGAGCUGUUUCCAGAUGGGUUUGGGGAGGAAAGUAGACCCAGAGCCAGGAAGGUGCAGAAGAACAGAUGGGAAGAAAUGGAGAUGCUCAAAAGAGGCAUUUGCUGAUUCAAAAUACUGUGAGAGACACAUGCACAGAGGCAAAAACCGUUCAAGAAAGCCUGUGGAAGUUUUCAAAACACCAAUUACAACAAACUCAAACCCAUCAUCAUCAUCAACACCAACAACCAUCUCAUCAAUCACCUCCAAGAACAACCCCCCUUCUACAUCAACCGCAACCUUCCAUUCCCUUUCUUCAUCACUCUCAUCACUGUCCUCUGACUCCCACCACGCUCAGCCCAACCACUCUAGUUACAAUACCAAUCUUGAUCAUCACCCUUUCCUCUAUCAUCACACAUCUUCUUCAAGGCCUCCUGGAUUUGGUUUGUCACAUCAAGAAAGAAAUACUUCCUUGCUUCUGGACUCUGGUUCUUAUCCCCAAGCCAGCUCAGAAUACAGGUUUGUCUAGAAACAACUCAUAAAGUUAUGGUACUUAUUUUCAAUGUGUUUUAUGUUAUUUCUUUGAUUAUUUAACCUGUUCGUGGUUAAAAUUUUGUUUUGUUUUUUGUCAUUCUGGGAGAAGAAAUAGGUAUGUUUAUGGGCUGAAGGAGGAGGUGGAUGAGCAUGCAUUCUUCUCAGAACCUUCGGGGUCUGUGAGAGACUUCUCUGGCUCUUCAUCUAUGGAUGACUCUUGGCAGUUCACACCACUGACAAUGAGUACUUGCACUUCUUCAUCUUCAAAACAGAGAAGCUGCUCUGCUUUACAGAGUGAACACUCUCACUUGCAGCUUCAGAGCAAUAUCACUCCUAAACAGCAGAAUUACUAUGCUUUGGGUAGUGACAUGAAAAUGGACAGAAAUGAAGGAACCCAGAAAACCAUUCAUCGCUUCUUUGAUGAGUGGCCCCUGAAAGACAAAGAUUCAUGGCUUGACUUGGAUGAUAAAUCAUCAAACAGUGGAUCAGUUUCAAACACCAGGCUCUCAAUCUCCACUCAUGACUUCCCCAUCUUCAGCUCAAGAAAUCAUAAUGGUACUUACACUGUUUAUUUUCAGUUUGUCAAUUAAUAUUCAUUUGUUUUGAGUUAAUUAGCUAUACUGUUCUUGAUUGUUCAGACCCAGUUGUGAUCUUUGUCUAUUAAGUUCAUUUUGUUUGGUUUUGCAGAUGACUGAGUCUCUCUCUCCAGUACUGGUUUCUGAAUCAAAGGCCAAAACUGUACUUACCUGGUGCGUCACUUUAAUUUUGGUGUUUGGGUGUUUGUGUGUAAGGUCUAAUUACAAAUUGACUAUUUUCUUUUAUUUUAUUAGCUGAAUGUGGUUGAAUCAGAUUAUUGUGUUUUAAAUGAAGGAUCCUAUGUCUCUGGCCAUCUUGGUUUCAUGUCCUACUCUACUUCAUAUAAGAGGUUCCAAAUGAGUCAGCCAAACCUGUUUUAUUUUUAGGCUACCAUUUUGAUGUUUUGUUUGUUUGAAAUCAUAAUUGAGGGGACCCAAUGGACCCAGGAUUUGCUAAAUAUUUUGUCAGUUCUGAAUCUGAGCUUACACCAGGUUAUGUUGGCAAAGAGUAAACCAUCCUUGUAAGUUGUAAUCUUCAAACCAGGGCAAGCAUUGAUCACCUUAUAAAUAUAUCCACCAGCCACUAUACUGGGAAAACGACUCUUCAUCAAAUGGCUUUUCCCUUCUUUCUUGGUCCCUGUUAAAACAACUUACUUUGUAUAUAUAUAAUAUAUAUACAUACAGUAAAAGAAACCAGAGAAAAGAAGAAAAAAACAAAUUUCAGAAGAAGGAAAAGAAAGAGAGAGUGGUAUUAGAUGCACGUGCAGUAAGCAGUGACAGUAGCAGAUGCAGAUAUAAAUCUGUGUUUAAAAUUGUAUAAGAAUCCGUUUACAAAGCUGAGGAACCAAACAUAAAUUGGCGCACGCAUGUUUUCUUUGAAAAGAUGCCAACCACUCUGCUGCUUCAAAUCUUAGAUCAUGCAAGUUUUAUUCACCCAAUAUCUACAAAAGAGCUAGCUGCCAAUUCUUCAACCCAUAUAUUAAAUAGGACAUUUAUGUUGGAUCCUCAAGCAUGUUAAGCCUAAUAAAUGAAUCUACAAUAUAUUUUUUGUUGUUUUUUUUUUUUGGCACUCACUCUUUGGUAAUAACCCCAUUGCAGUCUUAUAUAUAUAACAGAUACUGCUUGCCUCAUUUUCUGUUUUUUUUAAAAAAAAAUACUCUUUCUUCUUGUGAAUUAGAGUUUGACACAUGGAAAAAUAAUUCAUCAAAAAUACAAAAAAAAACUCUUACACAUGUCACACUGUUAUUGGCACGAAUAUAGGAGCUCCUACUUACAUAGCAAGGAGAAAAGUAUUUUCCUACGUAACCAGAUGUAGCAUAUGUUUAUUUGUUUUAAUUAUUAUUGUUUUCUUGGGAAAAGCUUGAAAAUCAACUUAAAAGGGAAAAAGGUGGAAAAAGACCCUUGAAUUAAAUAUUCUGAUGUUAUUGGAACUAGAGUAAACUGGGUUCUUAAAAGUUGAAACUGCUGAAACAGUCCUGAUCCCACUCCACAAGAAAGAGAGUGUAUGGGCGUGAAAGUUGUUUAGUCAUAUAGAAAUGAGGCAGCCAAAAUAGGCAGAAGGGAGAGGCAGCGAAGCUUUAGCAGAAACAGCAACACUAAUCUAAUCUGAAUUGUUCUGAGGCCUCUGUUGGGUGAGUGGGUCUGUGGUUGGAUACUUGGAUUGGACCAGAAAGAGGAAAGAAGAGUCUGCAGAUUUCACCAUCUUUAGAGACUUAAAAGGACUUCUACACUCAUAUCAGUUGGCAGAUAACUUGAUGUGCACUCUCAAGUCUCUAACACCUCGCAGUUUCAAAAAGAACAAAAGUGGAGAAGCUUCAUCUUAUGCACUGUCGUUUCAACUCAAGGAGAAAUCUUGAAAGGAAAACUUUUAGAUGUAACUAAGAUUUUUCAACUCAAACAUCUGAAAAUGUUGAGACUCUUUUGCUUAUAGCCACAUCUCAGACGCAUGUGGUGAUUCUAUGGUUCAACCUCCAUGCAUGCAUCUAUCUAAGACUGUCAAUCGCAAUGAGAUGCCCUCCAGAAAUAAGAUCAUCUAAUCACUAGAGGUUCAGUCCCACCGGUAAUAUGCCGUGGUGCAAUUCUGGUGCACAUGUAUUCGGACAAGCCCAGGUUUUCGAAGUACAGAAUAAAACACUCAAAAUCUUACAUUCAUAUGCAUAUGAGAUGAUCGCGGCCGCGGGGGGGAGGGGGGGGGGGGUGGGGUGUGGGGGGUUGGUUAAGCACUAGAAAUGAGGAAAUGAAGCUUCUAUUAGAAUUUUUUUCUUUUCUCUAUUUAUUUUUUAAAGUUACAGAAUACAUGAAAAGAAUUCUCAGAACUCUGGGGAUCACAAACAGAAACUAUAAACAAUGCAGUGAUCCUCAGUGAAUAACUCAUGCCUUCAUAUAAAUAUAUUUUUUGUUCAAAAUUGCAAGACAUAUUUACUCCUGAUUCCGUAGAGCUCAAGAUGAUGGAUCUUAAUCAUCAUCAUCAUCAAGAGCGGCCUCUCCAUUCACUUUAUCACCGCCUUCUCUGCCUUCUCCAUCACUCCGUAACUCUGCAGAAUUUUCUCUUACAGGACUCGACCCCGGCUGCCUCUCUUGUUGCUCAUCAUCAUCAGAUUCUGACCAUGCCCGCCUUCGUCGAACUGUGGUUGUUGAAGGUGCAGCCUAGAACAUAAGAUGAAUAUGUUACAGCCAGCAGGAAGUGAAACAUUUAGUCUCUCAAUGCAUUUCAGCAAGAAAUUUUCAGCAGGUUAGAACUCAGACAUGAGAAUGUAUAAAAUUUACCACCUCAUCCUCGGCAUCAGAAUCUUCAAGCCCAGCUGCUGCAAGAGGAUCUUGAACAUUCUCUUCAUCAUCCUGCUCAUUCAUCUGACCAGUAGGCUCCCUGUAAUUCGUGUUGGCAUCUUCAUCUUCCAGUUCUUCCUGAUCUUCCAUCAUAUCAGCUUCUGCUUCCAAUGUGUCGUAACGCGACCUUGAGUAUUUGUCCUUCUUUCUCCUUUUUCCACCUUUUCUCCUUCUCUUUUCACCAUUCCCGCCCUCCUCAUCAUCCAUUUCUGAUCUUUCCCUUCGCUUAGAACCAGGUGUACUGCUCUUCCAUUGCUCCUGAAGAUGCAAAAAGCUUGGGGCAAUUAGAAACAUGAAAUUCUUCAACCAAGUUUAGAUGUAAAAUAAAUAAAUAAAAGCUAUCCACUUCCUGUAUCCUUCAGCAUCCAUCUAUUUUCUAUGAGAAUGGCCUGUUUGGAUACUACAUUAGCAUUCUCAGAUCUAUACAGAUCUCUCUAGAACAGCAGAAUUAUUCAAAGAUAUAGUUCUUUGAUGAUUUUCAUAAUACAAGCUAACUAAUCUUUGAUCUGGUGCUCACAGUCGAGCUUGGUAAUAUAAGACUUGAAAGAGAACUGCCACAUUCCAAAUAGGGGCAACCAAGAGGGAAGUAUCAGUAUAGACAACUCAAUUAUCAAUCUUUACCUUGACGCGCUCAAACUGUUCCUCCUGUUGUCUCACUCGCUUCAGUUCGUCCUCUUGCAAUCUUCUCUCCAACUGUUAUACAAAAGCAUCAAUAAAUGUAUGAUGUAAACUCAUACAAAAGUAUUAAUACAUUAACCAUCGUCGUACACAGAAUGAAGCAACUUUCAAAUACCAAACCUGAAAUUUCCUCUGUUCUUCAGCCUUACGACGGGCUUCCUCAGCCAAUGCCAUCUGACGAGCAACUUCUUGUUUGUGCCGAAUCUUCUGCUCCUCAUGCUCAGCUACUUUAAAGUGAACUCUCGCAGCCUCAAGCAAGUGACUACAAUACUCAACAUGGGUGUCAAUUUUUUUCUCAUCAAACCCAUGAAAGUGAAGGCUGGAAGCAGCAGACAACUGUCUAAAUAAGCGAACAGCAUUUUCUAGCUCUGCAACUGUUGACCGCACCUAAAACAUUGAUACAAACAGAAAUUUAUGUGCUCAUGAGAGAGAGAGAGAGAGAGAGAGAGAGAGAGAGAGAGAGAAUGAAAUCACAAAUUAAACAUGCAUUCAAUAAAUAUACAGGCCAAUCAAAUUCCAAAGAAAUAGCAUUACAUAUAAUCACAAAGACACUACAUUCAACAGCCACCGCGUAUCAGGAAGGGAUGUCCAAUAAUACUACAAGCUGUAAGAACAGUUGUGCAACGUGACAGCCACAGGUUGGCAAUUUCUCUCACAAAAUUCUUAAUUCAGGGUUGACAAUUUCUCUAAACAAGAUAAAUCAUAAUAGGGUAAAAACAUGAAAACAGGUAUGACUAUGACUAUGAGAUAAAAAUGAAAACCAGAUAAAGUAUUGGUGGUGGUAUUGUUGAUUUUGUUGUUGUUGUUGUAUUAUUUAGUGUUAAAAAUAAUAUAUUUUUUAUUAUUUAUAAAAAAAAACCGUACAUAAAAUGUUCUCAUAUAUGCAAAAAUCAAUCUAAGACAAAUCUAAAUGAUCAAAUUCUAUUAUCUCCUAGCCAUCCUUCUUCCUGCUUCUUAUCCUACAUCAUGAUAUCCAAGGUUGAGCCACAUUGAACCACACAAAAAGCUUUUAGUGUGACAACAAAUGUAAGGCAAGAAAUUUUGAGAAGGUUUUCCAUCAAACCUCAUCAACAGAUUUCUUUGGCUUUUGUAAGGUUGAAGCUGAGAACUUUUGCAUUACAACACCUGCAUCAAACCUCAGCGUGUAAUUUGAAGGUGCCAGAUGAAUGGCUCGCAGUAAGUUCUUUUUGCAGUCUUGCCACUGCUCAGCUUCAUAGUGGGUACGAGCCAAAUAGAGUAGAAUCUGAGAGUCUGUGUUAUUAAAGAACUUUCUCAAGCAAUUUUGGUACUGCAAGACAACAAGAGUCAUCAGCACAUGUAUACGCCAUCAAAAGAAUCUGGCAAAAAGAGAAGAAGCAUAGAACAGAGAUGAGAUGAAUUCACCAUUUUCACAGCCAAUGCAAAAUUGCCUUGAGCAAAAUAAACAUGUGCCAAGUUUAUCCACACAUCUGGCAUCUGAACAAAAAUGUUCCCACUGGCAGCUUCUUGAACCUACAAUAGUACAAAUGAAAACAGUAAACCAUUCAUGUACUAAAAUGAGGUACUGUAUAGAGAUAUCGAGAGAUCGAUCAUACAACUCACCUGCGUAAAAAUGUCUUUUGAAACAUCAAAGUGACCCUUCUCUGCAAAGACCACUCCAGCACCAUUGGCAGCAUACAAAUUAGCAGAAUGUUGGGCUAGGACCUAUAAGCAUGAGAAAACGAAUAUUAGGUUUUUGUAACCGAAAAGAAAUGAAAUAUCAGGAUUUCUGUUACCAUGGUUGACAAACUCUAGAUUCAAAUAGUACAAAAUACAAAUUGAAAGAUUUUAGGAAUGUCAACUAAUAAAAAUGGUUCACAGACCACACCUAAAAUCACCCCAAUGAUAAAAUAAUAAUGCGCAUUUACAUUCAAGCCAUAGAGGUCAUAGAAAUAAUUAAUCAAACAUGUCACAAAUAACAAAAAGGAGAGAGAGAGAGAGAGAGAGAGAGAGAGAGAGAGAGAGAGAGACAAAAAAACAUACUUUAGUGUAGAGUUCUUUGGCUUUUUCUAAAUGCGUAGCUUCCAACUUAGGAGCUCUUUUCUCAUUGCGAAUUGCCGCAAAGUAGUUCCAGUUGCCCUUGAGAGUGACAAAAAAGUGUAUGAGAUGUAAAGAAUACUAAAGUAACAACUACAAUGGCAAAUGUGUUUCCCAUUGACGCAUAGAAGAUGCAAUUAUGAAAUAAAUUUUAAAAUAAAUUUUAAAGAACACCAAAAGUCAUCAUUUAUGUAUUAUAUAUCUAAAAAGAAUUGAGAGAAGCAUGCACACUAAAACAAUACACACCAGAGAAAGAGUGGCAUAGGAAUCCUUCCCCUCGGUUGCUUCACUAGCAGCCCGAAAGGUUUCUUUUGCCUUAACCCAGUCAUCAUUUUUCAAUUCCAAGUCACCAAGCAUUAAUAGUGCAUUUGGGCACUUGUUAUUCACCUUCAGAGCAUCAUUAACCUGUAGAAAGAGCAAGUCAAUGUUGGAACAAUGUGCGCAUGCAUGUGUGUGUGAGAGAGAUAGAGGGAGAGUAUUAGGACAAAGGGAGUUAAAGGUAUAAUAACAACCAGUUCAAUGCUUAGUUGAAAAUUAUUUCGAGCUUUCGCAAGGGCAGCCAGUCUCAGAUAAGCAUCUACAUAGUCUGGGUACUGCAAAGAAGAACAGAGUUUAAACAACCCAAGAAAGAAAAAAAAUUGAACCAUGACACAUCAAAAGGUCAGCUCCGCAGGUGUUUUUCUUUAUUUAUUUAUCAGUACUUUGUGGUAACCUUGGUUUUUUGUUUGAGCAUGAAAAAUUCCAUUACUAGCACCAUGAAGUAAGAGAUGCAUCGUGGUCUUUUCUAAGUGCCAAAUUCCCAAUUACUUAGAAUUGAAGACCAGGUUCUAUGUUCAUAACAACAUGGUACUGGUAAACAUGCCCAAUUAAUUCAGCAUCUGCAUGGAAAUUCUUCUCUUUGAGACGGUCUAAAAUCUAAUUUAAGUUCACAUCACCAAUGACAAAAAGUAUCAACAUUUUUUUUUUACCAAGUUUUAUACUUUAAUUAGAGCAACCAGAUGGAUGUAAGAAUAUAAUCAUGUAAAACAAUUUUCCUCCAGUGCUAUUACAACAUAAAACAAGCAUAUUCAUGCACGUGCACAAAUAGAAAAGACGUACCUUAAACAAAAUGAGACGGUACAAUAUACUUGCAGUUUCAAUGUUAUGCAACUGCUCGAGUAAUCUGGCCAGGUUAAAUAGUGUUGUGACUUUAUUCCAGGGUAACUCGACUAAGUGCCCCUCUUUCUCAAGUUGAUGAAAUAUAUGCACGUCCUUGUAUUGUGAAAUAGAUGCAUUAGCAUCAAUAGAUGGGGGUUUUUCUUUACCAUCAAUGAAGGCAAGCCAUAUUCCAUCACCUAGUGCCUCCCUGAAAGUUUGCUGAGCAAGCUGACAGACAGAAGAAUAUACAAAGAUAUCAAGCUACGUUUGCUUGGUGUAGCAAUUACAAUUAUCCGGGUAGAAAACAAACAAGCAAUCUUAAAACUACUCAAACCUACACAACAUUUUAUGAAAGUGCAAAAUGUAGAUGCUGAUACUUAGCAUCUGCCACACAGACAAUUUUAAUUGCAUCAAAGAUAUCCUUGGAGAACUGCACAAACCUCAAAUUCACCCCUCUCAAAAUGAAGAACCCCAAGAUUGUUAAGAACUUCAAUUGGUACUUCUUCACCUUCCUUUUUCAAAAGAUUACGUGCCUGAAGUAAUAAUUGACAGCUUAAUAAACCUUCAAAGGAAAUUACUAGAUUCCAACAAUGAAGGAGAAAAAGAGCUCCAUUUAAUAUAAGGAUGAUCAUUCUUGUUAUUUAGGACAGAAUAACAAGAAAUCCAUACCGUUUUUAGGCAAUCCAGAGCCGCUCCACCAUCAGAUGAAAUCAACAGUUCUCCUAGGUCAAGAAAUGCCUGCAUUGCAGUCCGAUAGAAAAAAUUAAAAUAAAAGUUUGAGCUAGGAUAUGGCUCGCCAUACAUACUAAAAUUUCAAGAUGCAUCUUCAAAAUGACCACAUAACACCUCAACUCUAUUCAUCCAAAAACAACUAUUAUCAUCUUGGCUAUGUACAGAAACAUCCUGUUUUAGUAUGGGCACAGGAUGUGAGACUCAGCCAGUUGCUAGAUAACCCAUGAGGAUACAGCUACACACAAGGGUUCCAGUGAGCAUUAUAAUAAACAUGUACCAUCAUUAUCAACACUAUUACUGUGUUUCUUUGUGAAGACUGAAGAGCAACAAAGACAAACAAUGAUGAAAAAAGUAUAUACAAGGAGAACCCCUAACCAAUUGGCAUAGCAAACCUCUAAUAAACGGAGACACAAAUGUAAGAGUGCCACACCAAUAAACAGGAAAGAAAAUAUCAGACACGUGGACUGUGGGCAUAGGUUAUGUUAGCAAAUUCACACAAACCAAUUCUCACUGGGGAAAAAAUCCACAAGGACACAACUCAUCAAAGAAUAAUAAAGAGGAUCGAUAACCUGGGAAUCACAUGGGUCAAUUUUUGUAGCCUUCCUCAUAAAUUCCAAGGCCUUCUCAGUCUGUCCAAGCUGAAAAUAUAUGUGCCCAAGGACCUAGAGAAAAGGGAAAUUAGCAAAGUAAAUCAAACUAACAGAAAAAAUAUAUCAUUGAUGCCAACAUACUUUCAUUUCACGUUUCAACUCACUUUCAAUGCGUCACAAUUAUCAGGGUACACCUCCAAAACCUUUUCAAAGUUUGAUAGUGCACUUCUAAGAUCUCCCAUCUUCAGUUGUACCUGUCCCAAACCUGUCACCAUGAGCCCAAAAAUUAUGCACAGAACUAGGUGAAUGCAAACAAUAUUACAUCAAUAUAAACCUGCUUCUCCGUGCAGAUUUCAGCAUACUACCGAAAAAUGUCUUAUUAACAGACCUAGUUGAAGUAUGCAUGCCAAGGAAAAUGAAAACAAAAGAUGUGGACUUAAAAAGAGAAAUUAUGUUAAAGUCUUGCAGAAGAUAUAUUACAUUAUAAUCAUUACUAAUACUAUGCCAAAACAUCAUACUCAGGCAAAGUAUAAGCACAGAAGAUUGUAAUGAUUGAUGGUAACUGACCAUAAUAAGGAAAUACGAACUCAAGGGGUUUACUGAUUUCCUUGACAGAUGCCAUGUAGUACACUCCAGCCUUAUCAUAGUCCCCCUGAAAUCCAGUGAAAAUAAACGUUUGUAACAUUUGUGAUCCAAUGUAUGCAUGACUGAAAUGUAUAAACUUGAUGUCAUCAAAUCAAAUGAGGCCACAAGACUUGCUAAUAAUUUAUCUUCACUUAUUUGAAAGUGUUCGUUGCCAGCAGUAAGUUAGUAACAGUAUUGAUGACAAUUUCAUUAUAGGGCCACCUUAUGCAUUUGUUUAGCUAGGAACCACAAUAGCUGGUCGAGUAGCAUGUGGAGCUAAAUGCUGCCUAAGAUAAAUCACUAAUGGAUGAUCAACCACAUUUAAACACACACACACACAGAAGUCGCCAGAAAGCAUGUGAUUGUACGGAACACAACUUCCUCCGCCUCAAAAUUUCCAAUCAACACAAUACAAAAAAUGUAAAGAACCCCUUAAUGAUAACAAGAAAAGCAUGACCUCUUCAUAAACAAAAUAAUAAUAAUAUCAUGCAUAAUAUUUUACUAACCUUGCUAUGGUAAGAUCGUGCCAAAUUGUAGUAGGAAUGUGACUUUGUCGGUCCAUGGUUGGUGACAGCAAGUGCAGUUUCAGUUAGUUGCUCAACUAGAAAGUGCUGACCAGUGUAGAAAAAAUGGUUUGCCAAAUAAUUCAAGGCCAUUGCGCAAUAAGGGUAUAUCUCAAAAGCUCUCUGCAUUUUUUCCAUUCCUCUCCUUAUUCCAGCAGCUGUCAAGUACAAUAUAUCCUGAAUAUUAGACUGCUCGAAGGAGAGAAGUAUGGACAAAUAAUAACUAUCAAACUAAACACAAGUGCAACAUAUAGAAAUGCUGACUUGUAUGGUUGUACCUGUAUUUGCAUGCAAAUCCAUAAUCGCAAGUGCAACAAGAGCCUCAACAUUUUCUGGAUCUAGCUGCAAGUAUAAAUUCAUUUUGUUAGAAACUGCGGCAUUUAACACCUUCACCUUAUAUUAAUGCAUCAUUCAUUCACUGAUAUCGCUUGCCUGUAAAACCCGUUGAAAGGCCUGCCGAGCUUUUUCAAAUUGACCCAUUUUGUAACGACAGAGACCUAUGCCAAGUCUUACAGCCGCAGGACAAUCGGGAUGUACUUGCAGGGCCCUCUUUAUCAAAUUUCACAAAAGACAAGUUAAAUCAACAAUUAGCGUUCGUAAAAGAAAUAUCUUCACAAAAUUACCAAAUUUCUACACUGCAGACCCAUAACCCCAACCAAUUCAAAUACAAAUAACCAAUUCUAGAGGUUCAGACCAUAUACAUUCUUGUGUUCUUCCCAUUAGCAAACAAUGGGAUGAAAAAUACAAACCUUGUACAGCUCCAAUGAAUCCGAGUAAUGCCCACGGUUGAACUCAACGCAUGCCUGCAAAUAACAGGGGCAAUGUGUUUACAACAAAUGAAGCAUAUCUACACUAACCAAGCCCAACCCAAUUUGGUCUCUCUUGCUCUCUCUCUGGGACAACCAGCUCUGUUAUAUUUCAAAUGAGUUCCCCCUUGGUCUUAAUUUAAAUUCUAUUCCGUUAGCUGCUAUCUAACACUAAAAUAGUCACUCCCAUGUACCAUUGCCAAUUUUCUGGCCACAGGGCCAUGCUCAUAGAUCAUGGAUUCACAGCUAGCCAAGUACCUCACAUGUUAAAAAUUUACACCCAUAAUCAACACGCUUUAGAAAGAAUUAUUGAAAGUAAAAGAGACAGUGUUCAAUAUAUGAUAUACUGAUAAAGCCAAGACGAGGAAGAGCAAUAACUAAAAAACUAACUAUAUCUUCUAUUUUCCUUAUCAUAUGCUGAUAUAUUCAUCACAUCUUUAUCCAUGCGAUCUUUGAAAAUGGGAAGCAUAAUUAUUUUGCUAAGCAGAGAAAUUCAAUGUAUAUACCUGACCCAAAAGGGCAGGAACGUUGUCCCGGUCUCCAUCUAAUACAAUCUUGAAUGCAGAAAAUGCUUGAUCAACUUCACCUUUAGCCAAUAAGAGCUGACCUGAAAGACAGGUAAUAAAAUUUCAAGUAUCAUAGGAUGCAUCAUAUAACAGCAGCAAAAAGGUUGCCCCUACAUUAUCUCACAAUAUAGAUCCUUCUGUGACACUCAUUGAGAAUUUAGACACAUAAUAGUACGAGUAAGCCGUAGAUGUAUUAUAGACCAAAACCAGCAAGUUUCAGAACAUAAAUUGCAAACACAAAGAAACUUUAUGUGCCAUACAGACAGAAGGAUACACAAAAUUUCUUUGGACAAAGAGGCUCUGGGGUAUCCACACCUUUCCCAACCCAAGUAGAAGGCUCAUGAAUGUCGAUUCUAGAUGCUUUGUUGUAAAAUUGUGUAGCUAGAAUGAAAUGCUCCUCCUUUUCUCUCUGUUUGGUCUCAAUUUUUCCGAGGUAGGUGUAGUAGGCCCCUAAAGCAUUCAAGAUCGCAAUCCUCUCAUAUCGAACAUCAGCAUAAUACUCAUCAAUCUCUGCACCAAGAAAAAAUAAUAAUAGCCAACAUUACUCCACAAUUUAAACACAAUUCGAUAGACAUUAAGCACCUAUAGCAAGUACGAAACAAAAAUUAACAAAUAAAACAAUUUCGGAUAUUGCAAGUGCCGGGAAAGAAUGAUUACCAGAGCCAGACCCUUCCUCCAAAAUCUGGCGGAACUGCUCAAGUUUUCCUUGUUUGAAAUACUCUCUCUGCAGCAUUCCCAGUUAAAAAGUAAACCGCAUAUUCAUCGUUUUGUAUUAGAAAAAUAAAUACAAAAUUCACCAUUAUCUUGCAUUAGCGUAAAAAUUGAAACGUAAUUGUUCAGCAACUCAAACAAUCAUGCCAUGAACAAAACAUUAAGCAUAUCCUCUAACAGAAAAGGCAUUUAAAUCAAAAACUAAAAUGCAAAAAAGACGAACCGCGAUAAUGAGCCAGAGAUCGAGAGAGGCUUGCUCGGCUUUGAGAAUGUCGAUGAUAUCAGUAGCUUCCCUUGGGAGUUGAUCCAGAACCACCCUCACUUCCUCCUCUGAAUUCUGAACCGGUAUGUACACGCACGCCAUUGAUUCCCCCAAUCACCCAAAAGCCCAAAAAUAAAAAAAAUAAAUGACAGUUUAUCCAAACGAAACCCUAACUCUCUGUCUAUCUCUCUCAACUCGUCUUCGGUGAACUGGCCGGAGGGCGAGAACGGCCACCAAUUAGACGCAAAGAACGCAACUUUUCUUCGCGUUUGAACUUCGAAGGUUGUGCUGUGAGAAGAUGAAAACCGCUCACACAGUCACUGUCUUCUUUAUGGUGUUUCUCAUACUAUACCAAGCUCUCUGUUUUAAAAUACAACCGAAAGAAAUAGACUUCUUUUUUCUUUUUUUAAACCGCCUCGCGCUAAAACCUAGUCCUUUUGGGAAACCCAAAAAAAGAAAAAGACCAAUUUACUCAGCUCUCUCUCUCCUCUCUCUCUUCUCUCUCUCUAAGGCUUCAUCUUCGUCAGCGGCUCACGGCGACUAUAAAGCCCUAAGCAGAACGGUUGGAAUCUGAGACAAUGCCACUGAAAUGGUAAAGAUUGAAAACCCUAUUCUUAGGUUCGGAGUAUUAUGUAUAGUAAGUUUUGUGUUUGAUUUUCUUUUGGGUGCAAUUUUAGGGUUUUGCAUUGGCAGCCCAAUGCAGGGACGACAGUAAACAGCCAAAUCAUCAACGAAGUAACGCAGUGCGUUGAGAGCAUCAAUGGCGUUAAGGAAGGCAGGUGGAAAGCCACUAUCACCUUCUACAAACCCAUGAUUCGAGGUAAAUUUCUCAUCUUUCGUGUUUUCAAUUUUGUUUUUCUCAAUUUUGUAUUAUGGGUUUUGUCAAUUGUUAUGAAGUUGGAUUUUGAUAUAUAUGUACAUAUAUGUACAUCAGAGCAGGCUUUAGCAGGGGACUUCCCGCGUGAUUUUCUGGGGAUUGCGCUGCCGGAACAACCGAACAAGUACUACCUGAUAAUCCGAUUGCAGCGCAUAGUUCUUGAGGCUGAUUCAUCUAUUCAGAUGAUUAUGGAGAAAUUACAGUCUUACAAAUCGAGGGUCUCUCUUAAUUUUGAGGUCCCCUUCCUCUCUCAAUUAGUCUAAUUAGGAUGUUUAAUAUCCUGAUAAUUUGAGGUCCAAACAGAGAAAAUGGUAUUAAUAUGAUUCUAUGUUGGUGUUGUAGGGAUUUCAAUAUCAACUUGGGGACUUCCAAUUAAGAGUGGGGAAAGUUCUUCCUACUCAUUCUGAAAAUUUGAGAGGAAUAGUUAUGGAGGUACCUCUAAGCUUGAAAUUUGUUGGAGAUUUGAAUACUUUUUUAUGGGAUUUUCCUUUUCUAUAUUUGGCAAAUUUUUUACUAUUGGAGAAGUAAAUAUGCAUUUUGUAAUAUCUGAGAUUGAUAAGGCUUUUAUUUUAUUUUUUGGGCAGUUUGCCAUUGAGAAAGUGCCUUUCGGUUUCAUUUGAGUGUGUUGGUGUCUAACUUUGACUCUAUUUACCACAAAAGCAUGGGAUUAAUAUGCCUAAAGGAGAGAGCUAUAUCACAGUAAAAUUAACCUAUGAAAAGUGUGCAUCCCCCAAAUGUGUUUUGGAGCACUUUAUAGUAAUGCAUGAUGGAAGUAGUUUACCUGUUUAGCUACCUUGAUAAGAGUUUUCUCACAAGAUUGGAAUACAGGCUGGAUUACUAUUUGCCGAACAAUGUGAAUUCCAAGCUCUCGUUAAUAUAUGAUGUUGGUUUCAUGAUGAUUAUGUUCGGCAUGCAAUUUAUAUAUUGGCUUAGAUUGAUUUCUGAAUCUCCCUGUUGACUUUGAUUAAUUUCUAAGAAAAGGCAAAUUUUUUUAACUACAAAUGUAUUUGGUUUCAGAUCAGUGCUUUAGCAUAGGAUUGUGAUUGUGCUCUAUGAAAUAUUUAGCAGUGUAUGAAUUUGCUAGUCUUCAGAUUGUUGGUCCUUAUAUGGUCUUUUUUCCCCUUGUUUCCCCAAGUACCCUUGACUAUUUGUGUGCUAAAAUGACUGAUAUUUUAUCCAACAUCUAUUUCAUAUUUGCUAGAUGUUAAUAUGGGAAAUAUUUUCAUGCUGUCAUCGUCUUGGAUCCUUUUAAUUGAAGUUGCUUGUGUUGUACAGGUGGAGUACCUUCCCAUUUCUUCGAUGGAAAAAGCGAGGCAAGUCAUGGAAGACUUUAUGGAUAUAUGGCAACAGGCUUUGUCAAAGAGAUCAUUACCAGGGCACUUUAUGCACAUGGAACCAAACUUUGCUGAGUAUGGCCUUGCAGACCAGUAUACUUCACAACAUACUGCUGUCCAGUAUGCUACUGUUAUGGCUCAACUAAUUGCAACAGUGCAGGCAGUGCAAGCAAGAAACUAGGAACUGAAUAAGAAGAAUUUGUUGUUUGUCACUUGUCAACUGGUUUUAUGAAUGGAUAACUUCAAUCCCAGUUUCUUUGGGACUCACACUCCCUCUGUUUGGAUAGAAGAAAAUGAGGGAGGAACGAGGGUCUGUACACAGGUUUGAUUGUUCAUGGAAGACAAGAAAGUAAAGGGUUGGGUUCUUUAAAUGGAAAAAUAGACUUCUUCAUUACCCUUUGUACAUCACAUUGUUAACUUAUGCUUUCGAGUAAAGCUGCUUCUCCAUUUAUUUCGUGUUUUCCACAUCCCAUUGAAGAGGGCGAAUGUCCACAACUUAGUUCUUAUUUCUCUGACAACUAGUAUAAACGUAUCAGAGAGAUUUUUUAAAGAAUAAAGAUUUGCUAUUUUGAUAAACAUCUUGAAAUAACAGGUAGACAUACAUACACAUGCAAAAAUCAAAUAAAGAUUAGGAGUUGCGCAUAGCAUUUGCCCAAGUUUAGAAAGAAAAUAUGACAAAAAUAGAAUUCAAGAAUCAAAUUUGAUAAGAGAAAAAUGAAGAAAAAAACUCAGAAACAAAUAAGGCAGCAGGCCUAAGUUUCUCGAAGUGGGCCUUGCCACUUUUUUUUUUUUUUUUUUUUUCUCCAAACCCAUGGGAGUCAGCAAAGAACUAAAAAGCCGAGACAACCCUUUGCUUUUUGCACGUACUGAAAGAUGGUGUGCGAGUAUAAAGGGGCGCACGUCCACGUGAAGGCACACAGAAGCACAGCUUAGGGCCUAAGCGGCGCGCUAUAAAAGCUGGAUUUGUUGAAAGCGAGAGAGGGGUUUGGUUUGGUUUGAUUAGCGUUAGCCACCCUCUCUGCCUCUCCCACAGUCAUCACUCUGCUUCAUUCUCUUUCAUUACAGGUUAGCCUCCAUCAUCAUCAUCAUUAUCAUCAUCAUCAUCAUCAUCAUUAUCAUCAUCAUCAUCAUCAUCAUUAUGCAUAGAAGAGGCCAAGCAACAGCCUUGGCACGAACCCACUUGACCAAAAUCUGGUUUUUGCAUUUGUUAUACAUGGGCUGAUGAAUUUGUUGUCCUUAAUUUUAUUUUUUUGUUUCCUGCAGAUUGUCAUUUAAUCUCCAAUGGAGCCAGAACGAGCUCCCAGGAAGGUUUGUUUGAUACCCUGCUUUUGUUGAAUUAAUGUCCUUUGUUUUUCUUUUAAAUUCUUCAAUAGUUUUACUUUUGUUUUCUUCUGAUUUUCUUUGCUCUGCUGCAGAUGAGAUUCAUACCAAAAGCUCCCCGCAGAGUGCCAAAGCCUGAAGUCAAAACGUAUUUGUCACUUUUUGUUAAACUUGAAAGUUGUACCCUUUUCUGGUUUAAUCUGUUUCUUAACUUCUGUUAUUCUUAAUCUCUCUAUAGCGAAGUGGACCAUGGGGCGGAGGAGUCUGAUGCUGAAAAGGCUAAGGAAUUGCUGAAACGCUUCAAUGUAACUGUGUUUUUCAUUGAUAUGGAUGUCAUGGUUUCAAUUUCGUUUCUGAUCCCCAUAUCUCAUGUUCUGUUUUGUUUGUGUGUUUAUGUAUGUUUUUUUUUUUUUUUUGGGUGCUCUUUUCUUAUAGGAACAAUCAUCAAGGGCGAGGCUCAAAGUUGAAAAGAAAGGUAAGGCUCUUCGGGUUUAAAUAAGCCUGAUAUCAAUGCACACUUGUUUUUUUCAUUUUCAGUUUACUCAAUAACAAGUGUAUAACACAACAUAUGUAAUUCUUCACUUUUAUUUCGGCAUCUUACACCUGCAAUUAACUCAAUAAAGUUCAAAUCAAAUAAAAUAGUCAAAUAAUAUGUAGUGGAGUUGUGAUCCAAUGGAAAAUAUGCUAUAAAAUUUGUAUCUUGUGGAUAUUUUGUGGGAGUAGGUUGAACUUGGCUUAAGUAGAGGAAAUUUGCAUGUCAUGAUAUGUAUUCUCUGAAUAAGAUAAUAUUUCCGUACAAUUUGUUGGGAUUAGAAUUCUCUGUCAUUUAUUUUUUGAAAUUUGCAGUGGUGCCUACGCAAAUUGUAUUUGGUUAUGGUGGUGCAUCAACAACCAUGAAAUCAUAUGGUGCUCCCAAAGGUGGGAGCGCUAGUUCAGCCACCAAUGGUAUAGUCUCCUUCAAUGUACUCUUUUUGUUUAGCUGCUAAUGAGAUGCUUCUAGUACAUCACCUUGGAUGGUGUUUCUGCAGCUGGUGCCUCAGGCGUGAAAGAGGAGAAAGAAUACAGUUCACCAUGGGUAGGUUACAUUAUGAUUCAAAAUAUACAAGCCAACUUGACUAUGCAUUAUUGGUUUCUGGUUUCUGCUUUUUCUGUGAACGUCUGUGUGUGUGUGUAUGACUUUAGUUAUUUUUAUUUUGGAUGUUGUUGCAGGAUCAAUACAGUUAUUACCCUGUAACUCUUCCUCUGAGACCGCCAUAUUCUGGAAAUCCUGGUAUGUUUUGAGAAAAGCAUAGGAUUAUCAAUGAUGCAACAUGGCACAUUAUAGGUUGUCUAGUCAUUGCCUUUUACCUAAUAGUAUACGCAUUUACAGGUGGUUUGAGUCGUUCUUCUUUUUUUUUGGUUUUGUUUUGUUUUCCAUCUGAUCAUUUCUGUUUCAUCUACUGUCAAGGUGAAAUUCGACUUGUGUUACAAUAAAUGCACCUAAUGUUCUACCUAUACCACUUGCAGAGAUUCGUAAUGAGGAAGAAUUUGGGGAGGGUUCAGAGGAAUCAACUUAUGAUGAAAAUUCAACAACACCAGCAAAUGAUCUUGGGCUAUUGGUUAGUAAUCCCACAAUUGAAAUUCUAACAUUACAUGCUUAAAUCCUUUGAUUUACUUUUGAUAAUUUGUUGGCAGGAGGAAAAUAAAGCAACAAGUAUGUUCUUUCUUCAGUUACCGCCAAAUAUGCCUACAAUAAAACGAUCAGCUACAGCAGAUAGUCAAGAGGUAACAAAAAGCUCAGGGCCACCUGGAGGUGCACGCAAUAUGCAGAAGCCUUGUUCUUUGUCCGAGUUACCCGCUGGCUUCAUGGGUAAGAUGCUGGUGUACAGGAGUGGUGCUGUCAAGAUGAAGAUAGGAGAUAGCCUUUUUGAUGUGAGUACAAUUUCAUAAUAAAGAUGAAAAAUGGAAUGCCUUCUGUUGCCCCACUUAACUGUCCAUGCUAUUAUACAUGCAUGAAAUAAUCUUAUAUUUUUGCACAUUUUAACAAACUCCAGUUAACUUUUAUGUUGCAAUUAAUUACUCAAGAAAAUAUUUUUGUGCACGUGUAUAAUAAUCUUAUACUUCCUUCUUACCUUUUGAAUUGUUGCAGGUCUCCCCAGGAAUGAAUUGCGAUUUCGCCCAGGAUGUUGUGGUUGUUAAUAAAGCAGAGAAAGGCUGUGGCAUUAUCGGGGAGCUGAACAAGCGAGCCAUAAUAACCCCAGAUGUAGACUCCAUUUUAGCAAGUAUAGAUGGUUUAUGAUAGUUUUUCCUCAUUUGCAAUACAAUUUUGGUUCCUAGGUCUAUAUACCUUUGAGAGGGAAAUUAUCUUUGUUAGAAACUAUCAGAGAAAAUAGUUGACAAGUUCCAAUAGCAAGACUAGUUAGGAAUUUUUUCCAGUAUACCAGCAGCCACCAUAAUAUGCAGAACAGUGGAUUGUUUUAUACUCAUUUCAAAUGAACCUAUUGCAACUAAUCGUCUGUGUCUAAUGGCAUUGAAAUAAAAGUCAUAUCCUACCAUUUAAGUAUAUAUGCUCUGCUCUCUGUUCGAGACAUUUGUCAAUUCUCCUAAGUUGAAUGUAUUUGCUUUAUAAAAUUAUUGUAACAAACCAUCCUUAGGAGGUGAAUUGGCUCUUGAACGGUUGUUGCCACUUUCAGAAGACACUGAACUUAAUGAGCAAACGCAAAAUCUCGACUUCUUCAUUAUGAACAAAACACAUUAUGGGAAAUAUAACAGGCACACAUUUUUAAUAUCACAUUAUUGGAAGUGAAAUUUAGACAUGGCAGGCUUGUCCAACCUAGAGUUGGUGUAACAUAAUUUGAGCUCCAUGCUGUGGUUGAAGAAUGGUAACAGUAUAAGGAGCAUGAGUGUAAGAAGGUGAGAGCUCGAAUGAGAAAUGUUGCAGAACCAUAGCCAAAGCAAGUUUUGCUUCUAUCAUGGCAAAGUUUUGGCCUAUGCAGGUCCUUGGACCCCAGCCAAAUGGAAAAAAUGCUUGCUGAUCCUUCGAUGCCUUUAAAACUCCUGCGGAAAAUCUCUCUGGUUUGAAUUCCCCUGCAUCAGCACCCCAAAGCUCCGGAUCAUGGUGAAUGAGUAGUGUUGGCAGAGUAAUAUCAACUCCUGCUGGAGCAAUGAUGUCCCCUAUUUUGGUUUCCUUGUAAGCAUGUUGAUACUGAGCAAUCGCCGGUGGAUACAACCUGAGAACUUCAUUAAGUAUCAUGGUUACCUGCAAGAGAAUUUUAUACAUGUAUGUGAUUGUAAAGAGAAAAGAGGAUGCGUUAAUCACCCUUGUAUGUGAUUGCAAAGAGAAAUACUCACAAUCUUGAGGUGGCCUAGAGCUUCAAAAUUAGGUUCUUUUUUCCCACAAACUUGUAGGACUUCUUGCCUUGCCUUUUCUUGCCAGUCUGGGUGCAUGGCUAAAACAAUCAUGGUCCAUGUUAGCCAACUUGAGGUUGUUUCUUGGCCAGCAAGGUAGAACUGCUUGCACUCUUCUAUCACCUCUUCAAUUGUCAACAUCUCAUUGCUUCUUGUGUUCCUUGCAGUUUCUGAAAAGUCCGUCUGAUUAUUAGACUGCAAGAGCAUGCCCAGCAAGUCAUCAACCCUGGAUUCUCCGGCCCUUAUUGCAUUCAUUUUCUUCUGGAUUAUGUUUCGCAGCAUUGAUGUGAUAUCUUUGGCCAAUUUCUUUCUCCUUUGAUUCUUUUUUGUUGGAACAAAUCUGUAUUAAAUGGUUAAGAUGUUAAUUUUCUCAAGAACUGAUAUUAAAUACUAUGCGGGGAAAUAUUAGGCAAUGGAAAUGCACCUGAAACCAGGAAUGUAUAAGGUAGUCAUUGCUUCAAAUGUUAGCACAAGAAGCUCUUUCUGAAGCUCAAAGACCCUCUUCCCUUCUUCAUAGGUGCUUCCGAAUGCAGCUCGAGAAAUAACAUCUGCACUAAGUUUCUGGAUUUCAGGCCAUAUAUCCAUUUCCCAAGCUCCUUGAAGAGGAACCAUCCUCUUCCACUGCUCUAUCAUUUCCCCACAACUAACUGCAAAAACUGGUACCAUUUCCUACAAUAAAAAAAAAAAACAGAAGAAAUGACUUAGUCUGAAAAAGAAUUGAAUCUGUAAAAUCAGAAAGAGAUGUCAGGCAAUAGAUAGAACCUGUAGCCUUUCUAGGUGGAAAGCAGGAUUGAUUAUCCUUCUGUGUUUGGCCCACUUCUCACCCUCUAGACUUGCAAGUCCUUUGGUCAGUAUGAGAAUGAGAGGGUUCAGGGGUGGCUUAUUGAAGUGACCUUGCUUGUUAGACAAGAUUUCUUUCAUCAUCUCUGUAUCCAUGAUGAUCAGUCUUGGUGUUGUCCCAACCCAAUACAUUGAUAUCUUCCCUGUGAUCAAUAAAUUGGGAAAUUAAGAGAUAUGAACAAAGACACAAUAUCAGCUGACAAAAACAUAAGCAGAACUAAUUAACAAGGUGGUUACCAUAUUUCUGCAUAUUAGUUAGGGUGAAAGGGUCAACGCGUGGCGUAACCUGGUGAGUUUGGCUCAUAGGCUUAGACCAUGCUUCCUUUAUGAGCUUCACAAACUCCUUCAUGUCUCCAAUGAGUGGCCUGUAAGGGGUGCCUCUAAUCCCUUGGCGCUUCAACUGCCUCUCAAGCCAUUUGGGUUUCCACCAAAUGGAGUAGGAAACUCUAGCAGCACCAUACAACAGCAGAACCAGUGCAAGAGAACAUAAGAAUACUACAUAUUCUUCCAUACUUGAAAAACUGAGAGAUUCUUUGAGUGCUAGAUAUGAAUGAUGGUUCACAAACUCAAAACUUGAGCAUAUAUAUAGAUAUUGCUGGAGAGUGAGAGCUCCCUUAACGUUAUUUGUAGAAGAUGUUUGAAUUUUGAGCUUCCAGUCAAACGUUUAUCUUGUAAAGGAAACAACUUGUCAAAUCUAAGGUUGUUUUAUAUUGUUUAGUUGACAUUUUUGUUGCCAAAUGAUGUUUAUGUUCCUUUGAUUAAUUUAUCUCUUGGGGAGAAAGGAACAGAGUACUAUUGGGAUUAUAAUAAUCCUGUGAUUCUGGAUACGUGGACAUGCUGAUACAACUUUUGACUUUGUGUCCGGCAAUGUUAUGUGUUUACUUGAGGCCCAAAUUUGUAUUUUGAGUGAGGAACAAGCCUAGACCCACAAAAAAUAAAUAAAUGUAUUUUGAGUGUGUAGACAAAUUAAUAGUAAAAUACAAAAUAAUAGAUAACGGAAAGUUUCAUCAGUACUUAGCAAGCAGAGAUAGAAGCUAAAAAAAUACAAUUCGCAAGUGAAAAACAGAACAUUUAAUUAACCUAGUUACUUGAUUAACGAGACCUCUUCCAGCAUUGAGAAGAGAAGUAACACUAGACUAAUUGAGAUAGAUGCAUGAAAACUAAUUACCUAAUUUGCCAGUUUUUGUUUUUCAUUACAAUGAUAAGAAAACUUCGUCUGCCAUCUGUUUACCAACUUCAGUCAACUUCAGUCAUUUGUCACGCCUUUGUACUUCUUCUGGUGCUGUCUGAUCCUGUAAAUCAUUCAAAUAACCGCAAAUAUAUAACAUGGCACACAUAGAUCCAGCUUGUUCUGCCCUCUGCACAGCCAUUGCCUUUGAAAUCGGACUAAGUAACGCCGAUCCUACCACAGCCGUCGGAUGAUAAGACUUUAUCACGCAAAAUCCACAGUCAAUGACAUAAUGAAUACCAGUCAGCAUUAACAAUGAAGUUUCAGCUACGCUUGUUGCAAGCACAACCUUCCUGGCCCCUUGAGGUGUAGGCUCAAGAGCUUGUGCAUGAAUUAUGGGACAGAUAAUCAGCUGGCCAUGGCCGCAAGCUUUUGUUAAUUGCCUCAACAUUUGGUCAACGGCUUCAAUUUCUUGUUGACCAGGCAAAAACACCAAUAUGUCACCAGGUUAUUGUGUGAGUCGUGAGUCGUGACUGUGUCACAUGAGUUUCAAGUGUUCUCGCCACUGCUUGGUUCACCAAGCCUUCUUCCAUCUUCUUCAUGUGGCUUAUCAGAUUCCGCAGCCUUCUUCGGGGAAUUUUGAAAACCGGAGCAGAAUCAAAAAAGCCACUCAAUUUCUCGGCAUCUGUUUCAGUUGAACAUGAAAUCAGCAGUUUAAAAUCACAUUGCCUUGAUAGAGCAAUAUCCUUAAGUUUUCCCAAUAAAAUAUCAGUUGAUAAAGUUCUCUCAUUGGCCUCAUCCACCAUCACCACACCAUAUCCCUCCAAAUCUGCCUCACCAUCCAAAUAUUUCACGCUAGAAGAUGGUGCAGAUGCCAUGCCCACCACUGUUGAUGAGAUUGGAGGACUUAUUAUACCAAAUUGUGCAAGUAAUAGGAUUACUUACGACCCAAGCAAACGUACUGAACCAAAUUGGGCUUUAUUUGGUACCAAAAAUAAAAUAGUCAAAUUGGGCUCUUUAAUUCCUCCUUUCACUGCCUUCCAUUGAUCCAGUCCAAGAAUUAGGGCCCAUAAAAUUGGGCUGUGUUUGUCACACUAGGACUUUAGUCAAUUAAAUUAUAUUUUUAUAGGAGUUAUUACCAGUACAAAGUUAUUAUUGGACUAUUAUUGUAGAAUCUCCCGAGUUGUUAUUGGCGGUCCAAAAAACUCAUCGUAUACUCUCCAAUUGUAAUUUUUCCGAGCUCUUUCUUUCUAGGGUCAUAACGGUGAUGGAAAAAUCAAAUCUAGUUGAUCCAAUAUUUGUCCUUCUACUAAUUCACAUUUCAAACUGUACACCAAACAAUUCAAAAGAAAAGUGGUUCAGGUUUUUGUCACACUGUAAAAUCUAAUAUAUUUCCCUUUGCUUUGCCUGAUCCAUUAUAAAUUUUAUAGUUUGGAUCUGGCUAGAAAGAGCAUUCUAAGCUAGAAGUUAAUCUGGGUCUAGCUAGAAAGAGCAUUUCUAGCAUGCUUUUCAAAAGUCCCCUCCAUAUAUGGCAAGAGUUGGUGAAAACCAAGUCAAUAAAAAAUCAAAAUAGUAUUCCUUCUGAGUCGGUAGAAGAAAAUAGAUGUCCCUUUAUUAAGUUUCAGUAAAACCCUAGCUAGCUAGCUCCUCUAUAUUCAGUCUUUUACCUUUUUUGAUUGGUGCGUUUAGAGAUGCAUAUGGUGAUUUAGAGUAUACAUGUUAGGCAGUUUACUUGCCGUAUGAAAAUAAGUAAUUGACUAAGCUCAAACCAUAAGGUCAUAGGAGAAAUACAUUGAAUUUUAACUUUUCUACGACACAUUCACCUGCUCAGUAUUAACGUAUGAAAAUAUCAUUUUUGUUGAGUCGUCAUGACCUAUUGAAUGAUACAUUUAAUAUAUUAAGUGGUGUAAUGAAAUAAACGGAUUCCAUGAACUAAAAAUGCUUCAACCUACAAAACCAAAAUUUUGACUGAAGAAGAAAUACCAAAAAACCUCGAGGGUCACGAUGCUUCCAAAUGACAUGAGACAUCACUUUGUCAAAGUUAACUUUGACAAUGUGUUACUAUAUUAUUAUAUGCAAUGAUGAAAACAAUCCAAUCUAUCUUCAAAAAUCAAUUUAUAUCCAAUAUAUGAUGAAAGCAAAACACAAGUUUCCACAAAGUUAAUCUUGUAACUCAUUGAUUAACAGAGUGAAUACAUCUCUUACGGUAAGCUAUGCGUCUUGCUAAGAAAGAAAAAGCAAAAAAAAUUGGGUGCUCAUUGUUAAGAUUUCAAAAGGACGGAUUCUUGGCUCAUUACUAAUAACAUCAAUAUUGUACCCACUUAACCACUUACAUAUUCGGCAUUUGGAGAUGUAUAUGGUGCGCUUAGAGAUGUAUAUGGUCAUUUGGAGAAUACACGUUUAGCAGUUUACUUGCCGUAUGAAACUAAGUAAUUGACUAAGCUCACACCAUAAGGUCAUAGGAGGAAUACAUUGAAUUUUAACUUUUCUACAACAACAUUCACCUGCUUGGUAUUGACGCAUGAAAAUAUCAUUUUUGUUGAGUCGUCAUGACCUAUUGAAUGAUACAUUUAGCACAUUAAGUGGUGUAAUGGAACAAAACCGAUUCCAUGAACUAAAAAUGCUUCAACCUACAAAAUCACAAUUUUGACUAAAGAAGAAAUACAAAACAACCUGGAGGUUCAUGAUGCUUCCAAAUGACAUGAGACAUCACUUUGUCAAAGUUAACUUUGACAGUGUGUUACUAUAUUGUUAUAUACAAUGAUGAAAAUGAUCCAAUCUGUCUUCAAAAAUCAAUUUAUAUCCAAUAUAUGAUCAAAGCAAUACAGAAGUUUCCACGAAGUCAAUCUUGUAACUCAUUGAUUAACAAAGUGAAUACGCCUCUUAAGAGUAAGCUAUGUGUUUUGCUAAGAAAGAAAAAACAAAAAAGAUAGGGUGUUCAUUGUUAAGAUUUCAAAAGGAUGAAUUCUUGGUUCACUACUAGUAAUUUCGAUAUUGUGCUCACUUAACCAUUUACAUAUUCGGUAAGUAUAGAGUUUUAUCUCAAAAAAUUUCAAUACUAUUAAUAAUAGAAUCAUUCAUUAUAUUUUAUAUAUUUUAUAUUUUAUUUGAUCAAGCGUACAAUGUGUAACUUCAUAUUCUUCGACAGCUCAUCUAUAAAAGAUUUCGUUGCUUGCCAUGAAGAUCACAUUGCUUCUAUUGAACAGAAAAAAUCGACAUGAGCUGACAUCAUAUCUGAUUUGAUAAGAUUUUCAAAUAUAAAAUACCCAAAGAAGGGAAAGUGAUAUGAAUUUACUACAAGUGUCCAAAAAUAUUCUUCCUUCAGAAUUAAUUCAACCCAUUGGUAGCAGAAAAGUAGAGGGAAAUAUACAAAUGCAAGCAAGUUAAUGAAGAAUUUAGACAGUAGAAUAAUGUUAGUAUUGCACUUAGGUAGAUCGGAUAGAAAAAGGUGUAUGCUUAAGCUUCAAGUAAAGAAGGUGUAUAGAAAUGAAACUUGUGAUCGUAUAUAUCCAAUAUUAUUAUUUUUGUUAAUGGUUAAAAUUAAUGGGACUAAUCUCAUUCUUUGUAUUUUAAUUAUUUAUGUGGACAAAAAUGUGCUAAAGGUCACAGUCUCGCAUAUCAAAAGUAAAAAUAAGAAAACAUAAAAAAUAAUAAUAAUCAGUCCUACAUACAUGCGAUGAACGUAGUAAACCGCGAUAUAAACAGGAAAAAUUGAUGGCAAAUGUAACUGAUGUAUUGAAAAGAACAAGAAAUAAUUGAUGGAUGGAACUUCAAAUUGAAAGUAUUGGUCUCUCUAUUUUCAAUACCUAAUUGAGAUUACUCAUAUCUCAUGCCAAGGAACACCAAUGGCAAUGUGUAUCCAAUCUUGGGGGACACCUUGUAUUUCUCCCUUAAUUAUUGUAUCAUAUUUACAUACAUCCAUUAAUGUGUAACUUUCAUUAUAUUGCAUAUGCAUCACGCCUCACAUGGUGAGUUCUGAAAUAGUAACUUUGUGUCAAACACAAAUUAUACAGAUGAGAUGGAGCUUAUAGAAACAGAGAUGCGAAGAGGUAACGGAAACGCGUUAUCGUCAGUUUUGCAAAUAAAACAAAAAAGCCAUUGAAUUAUUUGAGCGCUCCAAAUUUUAUGAAAUACGGGUAAAUGCGGAUGCUCUAAAUGCAUAAGCUCGGGAUCAUAAUUAUCACAUGUUGAAAAUAUGAACAUCUUUAAGAUAAAUUUAACAUCCAUGUCUUCCAAUAUUUGUCAAUCAUAUAAGUUAUAAUAACAAAUUACCAUGAAAGACUCUUCAUGGAGCUAAGGAUCUAGAGCGCUUAAUUAUAUCAUCUAACUCUCAAACUUGUUUAGAAGAUUUGAUUUUGUUUCAUGGACGAAGAGUGUUAGAUGUUGACCUGUAAUUAGAUUUUGAUUUUGCUUUUGCUGCUGGCCACCACUGCCACCCCAAGUUGGGUAAAUAUAAUCAUAUUUUUUAUCAUUAUUUUGGGCAUGUUUGUCCUACAGAGGAAUCGUGGGCCCCCAUCUUCCCUAAAGGCCUAAAAGGCUGACAUGAGUGGGCCCUCUCGAAGUAUAGAAGUCAUUUGUGCGAUAGACACGUGAUUGCUAGUACUGAGAGACAGAUAAGAGAGUGAAUGUGUGAAUUCUGAUUAGGUGUUCAGUUACCUACAUAAUUAUUAUGUUUUAUUUAAAUAGAAGCACAAAAUCAUAAAUUGCGUAAAUAUUAAUCCAUCUAUUUAGAAUAAAAUAAUAAAUAAAGAAUGCUAUUAAACGAAUUCUAAAAUUAAUUGAGUACAUUUUACUACUGAAUUAUUUAUUAAAUUAUUAAUUUAUCCUAAUAUAAAAUGACAAAAAAUAAUAUAUUGAAUUGUGAAAAAAAAUAUAAUUUUAAUAAGUACACUCUACUCACCAUAUUCAACCAUAAUCAAACGUAGAGAAAUUUUUGUAUUACUUGGUGCCAGUAAAAAGAUUUUGAGUCUGUUUCAGCGAAAUGAACAUCACGAAAGUUAUCUUAUUUCAAGUACCAUCUAAUGACUUAUAUAGAUUUUCUCAUCAAAUUUCGCCUUUCAAGAUGAUUGGUGCUUAACAAUGAUGGCCUCCUAUGUCUACCUCAAGAACUGUAACUGUAUUUCGGUUUGAAGACUGACGCUGGCCUAUUGGGAUCACUUCUUUGAUUAUGUUUCUCUGUAAAUCAAUUUAGGCCCUCUCUUCUUUUCACUGGUUGUAGUUUUAGCCCCAUUUUCUUUCCAAUUGUUUAUCUUGCCUUUCCAUUUUGGUAUCGGCUUAUCAUCAAAUGGAUCUCUUUAUUGACUUGCUGUUUUAUGAAAUCACAUCUACUUUCGAACAAAAAAAAAAAAGAUUGGUGACAAAAGAUUUGGUGUUCCGUUGAAAAGAGAAUUAAGAUGAUGAAGAUUUGAAUUGAAGGAGCUAGUAAAUCUACUCCUACAGCAGUUUACGAAAUUAAAGAUUUUGAUGCAAACUCAAAAUCUGAAAAGAUGACACGAAUUCAUGUACAAACAUAAAUCUGGUUUAUGAUUGGUAUUAGGGCGUUGUGUGAUAGAUUGUAUUAUGGUGUACUAUGGGUAUUUUUGGUAGUUAAAUAAGGUGUACUUAGUUAAAUUUGUAUUUUGAUUAAAAUAUUAUGAUGUAUUUAAAUCAUAAGGUGUACUCAUUUAAUUUUAGGAUUCGUUUGACAGCACUCUAAAUAAAUUAAGAGGGGAUGUAUAGAAUUUUAUCUCAAUAAUGGACAAUUGAUAUGAAAAAACCCAUAAGGCAUGCAUGAUUGUCUAACAUUUUGGUUUAAUAAACCAAUUUAGCUCGUUGAAUUUAUCUUAUGGAUUGUUGACCUUCAAAGUUUGGGUGGAAAGACUAAUUGGUUUAAUAAAUCAUUUUUAACCUCUUGUUUUUAUGGCAUUAGUCAUACUAGUUUUAAGAAAAAAGGUGUCACACUCACACACAUGCUUAUUUUUUUUUCAAACUUCAACUAUUUUGUUUAGAACAAAGCUUGACUCUUCAAACUUUGCUCGAGUUAUGUUUGAUUUAUUUUGAAUUUAUCAUAAUUAAGAAGAAUGAAAAAUGGAAGUUUUUUUUUUUUUUUGGGUGGUGAAAUAAGGGAUUAACUCCUAAACACGCAAAAACUAAAUAACAAAGAAAUCGAAGUCAUUGUCUUGAUUUGAGAUAAAUUAUACAUGUUUAAGUAGGUUCUUAACAAUUUUCCAAUAUAAUUAAUUACACAAAUUGGACCCCAUAAAUAAAUGUUAACCAUGUAUUCAAUGGUGAAAGGGCUGAAUCUAUCACCUCUUUUAUGGUCAACAUCGAUGACUCUUAGCACGAACUGUACCAAUUUUGUUGAUUUCCUUCUCAAUCAUAGGGGGGGUCCUCCACCCAUUCACGUGUAUCAAAAUCAUUUGUUGCAAUGCUUGCCUUUUCUCUUUUCCCUUCUUUUUAUAGUAGGUAUUUUCGACACUGUAGAUGUAGUUUAGGUCAAUGAUUAAAGUAGUGUCUACUCCUUGCAUUUGAGUUCGAUUUCCCACUUCGCACAUUAGAAUAAUUUAAAAUAUACCUUUGUAAAAAGAGUUAUACAUUUACCGCGAGACCAUUGCCUUCUCUCCGAGUGGAAUUCAAAAUUUGAUUUCCAUUUGUUAAUUCUUAAUAAAUAUCUAUUAACUCUUGAUUAAACUUAACGGUGAGGGAAUAUAAAUAAAGAUGAUUGGCACUGUUUAAAAAAAAAACAAAUCACAGCUGUCUGUGACAAUUGACAGCAACAAACAACGAUCAUACAAAUUUUAAUCACAAUUUGGUAAAGUCCAAGUUCGUAUAAAAAGUUAUUGUUCCAAUGCAGGACAUAUAAAAUACACCAUGAAAGCAUAUUCCAUCGAUGAAUAAUGCACCUCAAAAAGCAACUUAAAUAUAUUUUCUCCUGGAAUAAUAUAAACAAGAUAAAAGUACGACUGCAACUGAUAAUAAAUAAAUAAAAUCUGAUUUAUAUAAUUAAGGGUCCUCCACCACUCAUUUAGUACAUCUUAAUUGGUUUGAUUUUCGUUUUACGUAAAAGUGGCAAGAAAAAUAUAAUUAUUUUAUUAAUAAUGAUGGCAAAUUAUUCAACUACUCUCCAAGCCAUUCUUCCCCUCCUUGAUCCCCAUCGAGAAAAGAGGUCAAGGAAUGGAAAUUAAGAACCAAAUUUGGUUGAACUUGAACACAAUCGUGGCUGCCAACAUUCAAAUGCUGCAACAUUUCCUCUGAGAAAAUUUGAGCUGUUUGAUCCACACAGUGUGACAAACUAUUGUCACGAUUUUGAUCAACAUCGUCACAAUUAAUGGCCGGAAAAUCAGAAUUCAGGAGACUUGCUAGGCUAAUCUCGUUCAUGUCAAAAUCCACUAGAAAAUCCGAGGACGAAUUUUCUUCAUCAGCGAUAUUAGAGAAGGAGGACAAUGACGAUGACCCAUUGUUCGUGUGGUCAUCCCCUGCAUGCCUAUCAAACAUCAAUCCUCCUCUGUUGUCUUCUUCACAAUGUUGGUGGCCAAGUGGGAGUUUGUGAGGGUCUGGGUUGAUGAAAACUUUGGUGCACUUAGCAGCUUUGGUUCUGACCACUGGGGACAUCUUGGAUGGUGAUGGUGAGGUCAUGUUGGGAGACAUGUCCUCCAUAGUCUUGGCCUUUUUGGAAACUGGUUCACCAUUUUUGUUGUGGUGCUUGAGAUUUGAAGCAGAGCCUUGCCGCUGUUGGUCUUGGAUUUUUUUGCCUAAAUUGGUGUUCCAGUAGUUUUUUAUUUCAUUGUCUGUUCGCCCUGGAAGCCUACCAGCUAUUAGAGACCAUCUGGAAAAAAAAUAAAAAUAAAAAUUUUCAAAAUCAAUAUCAAAAUCCCAAUUGAUCAUGAUGAACUUUUUUCUUUUCUUUUCCAAUUACUAUAAUUUCAUAAUUAAUAUAUUAUUUAAAGCAAUGAAAUGGCACAAAUUACCUGUUCCCCAAAAGCUUGUGAAGCCUGAUGAUAAGCUCUUCUUCAUCUGGUGAUAUGUUGCCUCUCUUAAUGUCUGGCCUCAGAUAAUUCAACCACCUAAGCCUGCAGCUCUUCCCACAUCUUUUCAGACCUGCAUAAAUUAAGCACCAAUUAAUCAGAACCAUUGAUUUGAUUUUCAAGCACAAUUCAGAAAACCCACAUAAUCAGAUACAAUGAGCUAAGCAGUGCACAUUUCUUUUCUCUUUUUUUUCACCUGCUUUUUUGGGGAGGUUUCUCCAUCUGCCUUCACCAUGGAGUUUGAUGUAUUCACUGAGAACUUUGUCUUCAUGGGCAGUCCAAGCACCUUUGUUCAAGCCCUCCUUUGCACAACAAGCGCUUCUCCCCAUUGUUUUGGUGCCUGCCUUCUCUGCUCACACCCAAAACUCUCCUUUUCACUAUAGAAACUGUUUCUUCACUGCCUCUGGUUUUUUUUUUUUUCCUCCCAGUCGUGUGCUUGUUCGAUUUGGUCUCCUGUGUGCUUGGAAUAAGAUACUUAUAGCUGCACAUUUUCCCCACGUUAUUAUUUUAUUUUAUUUUAUAUUAUGGUCCCUUUUUUUUUUAGUUUGCCCAGUGGUCCUGGUUUUACCUAGCUAAUCAAUGGUGACAAUAAAUAAAUCCUUUUUUUUUGCAAUAUUUGCUUUCGCAUAUGGUUGUACAAUUACUAGUUGGUAUUGUACAACUAUAUGCGAAAGCAAAUAUUGCAAAAAAAAGGAUUUAUUUAUUUGAUGUGCAGCUCUUUUAUCACUCAUCACUUAAAAAUGUAAGAAUUAAUUAGAAAUUAAGCACUUUUUAUCCCAAAAAUAAACAAAGGAACCCAACAUUAUUAUACUGCCUUCAUUAGCAGAGUUGGUGGAUUAUUUGGUGUUGUGUGAAGAUUUUGUGAUGAAGAAAUCUGGACAGAAGAAUCUUCCAUACCAUUACCAUGUAUAUUAUAUAAAUUUAUAAAUGACUAGUUAAACAAAAAUAUUAUGUUGUAAACCGUUAGAUGAAAACAUACAAAUGCUAAACACGACGUAUAUAUAUAAUGCAGAAAGGUUACUGACACAAUAAUAUUAUAUAAUUUUCUGGUCCAAUUUGACUUUGCUUUGCUUCUUUUACUCUCAAACUAACAUUCCAAGACACCCUUGAAAGUUUGUUAGGGCUGCCACCUCCCUGUCCUCUCUCUCUCUCUCUCUCUCUCUCUCUCUCUCCUUCUCGAGUAUGUACUAUGGCCUGCAUGAGGUAGAGGUUCAGCAUCUAGUUUCAAUCGUCCCUGUCUCCAUCACGCAAAUCAAUUGCAGUUUCUAUUUCUUUUAAUUAUUUAACCAAACCCAUUACUUGGUCCUCUGAUUGAAUUGAUGAUAAACGAUCAAACUAAGGCCACAAAAUAACGUAUAGGAAAAACGAGUAGAGUAUUAUUAGUUGGUUGAGUUGUGUGGUACUCUUUUUCUUUCUCGUAAGAAAGGCAAAGUUUUAACGAUGCCACUCUAAGAGCACCUCGGUUUCUAAUUGAAGUUCUUCUACUCCAUCAAAAAAAAUAUUGAUGAUAAAUGAUAAAACACAAAAAGAGUAACCACAGCAAGAUUAGCCUUAAUUUGAUUAUCAAUUAUAAUCACUCGUAUAGUCUUUUCAUAAAGUACGUCCGCACACGAGAAUUAUUGGUGUCAUUGAAGUUGAUGUGUCCUUGCUUCCACACACUAUAACAUAUGUCAGUGUUGAUUAGUUGUUCGUUCGUUGUACAUGUUUCAUGCAGCACAGCUCCACAGAGCACUAGUUUAUAGACAAAAUAACGAAAAAACCAAGAAAGACUUGGCUAUCGAUCCAUUUUUCUUUGUCAUACAUUCUAGAUCAAAAUUUGGACUAAUUUUCAGUUAUAUAUAUAGAGAGAGAGCGUUUCAAUUGAGAGAUUUCUCAAAUAAAUUUGAAGAACACUCUUGUAAAACUCGUUCUAUAUUUUAUUUCAUUAAUUCAAAUGUCUAUUUUAUAUUAUAGCACUUUUGAUUGCAUGCAAGUAUACAUAUUGUUGCGGCCAAAUCUGGACCUUGAGACUGAUGUGAGUUUAGGUUUAGAAUAUUGGUACUUUGUUUUGUAGAAGAAAUUCGUUUAGGUUGACCCAUAAAACGAAAAAACCAGAAAAGAUAAAUCUAUGGUGAGAGCUAUUUAUGUGAAUUUGUCAAGGGGUUGUUGGCAUUGGAGUAAUAAAUUAGGUAGUUGGUAUUGCAUUAUAAAACUAUGAAAUUCUUAGAGCAUUGACUUUAACUUUCACCUUGCACAUGAGAAAUAACUUCAAGCAUUUUGUUUCCUUCAGAAAAGGUAAACUUUGGUAUCUAAAUCCAAUAAUUGAGAAACCACACCCAACUUUCAACUCCUCUUGAUAGUAAAUUAGUAAUGGCCCCAUCACUUUCUUCUCUAGAAAUGUCAACAUGCAAAACAUACUGUCAACAUAUGCUGUUUUUGGGGAGGGCUAUGAUAUGUUCACCAUACUCAAAAUAGGUCUCCAUGAUAUAAGAAAUGUUCAAAAUGAAAAUGACAAGAAUUACAUAUACUUAUAAUAUAGUACCCUCCAUAAUAGAGACGGGUAUGAAAUUAAGAAAAAGAGGAUGCACAACUUUCCUUGUUUCGUUUAGACGGGUAUGAAAUUAAGAGGGGACGAAAAAGGUUUUAGUUAAUGAAACGUAUUCUAGAUGUUGUAAAGAAUAACUCACAACACAUAAAUUUCACUUUUUUGUUGGAUCUUUCCAACUUUUAGAGAGAAUUAACGAAUAAAAAGUCAAUCAAAGAAAAAGUGAGGUGCACAAUUUUCUUCUCCUUCUCUCAAAAUACUCCCUCGAAGUCGAAGUUCAAUUAAAAGUGGGUUCAAUUCAAGCAUCUUCAAACAACAAGUCUAAGAAGACUCCAAUUAAUUGAAGCUAGGAACGUCACAAGGAAACUUUUUGAUGAGUAGUGGUUAAGCCCAAUAUAAACAGGAUUCAUGAUUGUGGCUUUAUUUCUAUUCUUUAUUCUUGAAAUAUUAUUGUUUUCAAAAGUAACUAUAUAUAUAUAUAUAUAUAUGUGUGUGUGAUGUUGAAAAAUAUAAGUCUUGGAUGAUUGAUUAAAUAAAAUUCAACUUAUAAUAAGUGAUUUCACUUCUAAUAUCACUGAGACCUUUUGUGAUAAAAUCUCACACCUAUUGGAGCUUUAUAGGUGGUUAAGUUGGAUAAUAUCAGUGUUGCUAUAGUAAUGGACCGAUAACCUCUCUCUUUGAAAUUUAACAUACAAUUUAUUGAAAACGAUGAAAUUAUAGAAACUAAUAUAGGAAGAUGUAAUUGUGUUGCAAAUAUAUCUUAAUAAGAAAUACUCUUAUUUGCAUGUGUGGGUUAAAGCAGUUGAGUAUGAGACAUUGAGUCCGGCUUCCUUACAACAAAAUUCGAAUCCCCUUUCUAUUUUCACUUAAGUUCAAAUAUUUAUUCCCAUAAAUUAGAUUAAAGUGUAGUUUAGAUUAUGCAUUGUUUUCAAAAAAAAUGCUUACUGUUCUUAACGAUUGCCAUGCUCCAUGUGGUUGGUAUAUGUCGAAGUCGUAUACAGACACUGAGUGAGUGACACGGUACUGGUGGAUUAUUAAUUGCAAAUUUGAAUAUCAUCAGAUUGAUAAUUUUAUUAAAUGGUUUGUGGUUGUAAAAGAAUAGCAGGAAAAGAAAUGGAGGAUUAUUAUUUAUUGCACUAUAAAUACGAAAGAGAUGGCAACACAAAAUUCCAAUUUUGGAAAUUCAGGAAAUUAGACAAAAGUCAUUAAUUGAUGGUCAUGUGUCCCUUAACGAGGUGUAUCAGCUCAAUUUCGGAUCAAACAAAAUCAAAUCAGUCCUCGACAAAUAGAUGCCUAGCUAUUAGCGAUGGGACAGUACAUAUUUGAUUUUUUAAAUUGAAGAUGUUAAUUAAUACAAAAAAAAUGUGGUUCCGAGUCAAACUUAAAACAAAAAUUUUAAAAAUAAAGAUCCCAAUGUGCAAGCUCGUCGCUCCGAUAAAAACUUGGAUGCAACGGGAUGUAUAUUUCUGUGUGUUCGAUCGUUUUCUUUAUGUUUGCUGUUUUUUUCACAGUAAGAUAUACACGAAUUAUAAGAGAGAGAUUUUACACAUUCUAUUUCAUAAACAGUAAAAAUUUACGACUCUAAAAAAAAGUACGAAUAAUAAUUAUUUUAGAGUGACAGUAACAUCUUGCUUCCAUUAUUGUAUUUUUGGUGAAAAACAACAUUAUUAGUUGUUUGUGAAAUUUAGUUGGUGUGUAUUAGAGUUUGAAUAUCAGAUAGGUUUAGUGAUAUGGUUUACACAAAUCACCAAUCAGAUUAAACCCAAAAGUUCCUUUGCUUUGCUACAUGCCAAAUGACAUGUGUAUCAUCCCGGAGCUCUCGUUUUCAAACCAAUGAAAGAGCAAUGAUGUGCAAAGCUGCUGAUUUUCAGCAAUAAUUCUGGGUCCACUUCAGUUUUGAUAUGCCUACUGUCAAUGCUAAAUGAUGCAUAAUAUGUAUGUAGUCAAUUGGCAAGCAUGCUAAAUUCACAGUAGAUUUGAUAUUCUUGGCUUCAUAAUUUCUUGGUUUCAUAUCUCUAAAUUAACAAUUGUAUUGCGGAAGUCCUUGUACUUAUUAAAAGUCGAGAACCAUAAUUAUUGGGACCACUCCGAUUUUGUAAUCUAUCAACUGUGCCAUUUAAAUUAAAUGGUUCUUGGAAUUUUCUCUUAGGUUUGUUCUUAUUUUGGAAGUACACACAACCAACUAUUCCAUUGGUACUUGUUUUGGUUGGAGGAGGCCUUGUUGGAGUUGCCUCGCUUAAGGAUGCAAAGGAUGGUGGAAGAGCUUCUCUCAGCAAGAAAGCGAUCGAUCGCUUUUGCCAGGUGAUUUUGAGCUCGGCGUGUUUUUUGGUUCCAGCAUGAGUUUUGGGUAAGUUCUUGGUCUAGUUUGAAUAGGAUUGUAUUUUCUUUUCCAUGUAACUUUGUACUAUAGUCCUAUGAUCUAUAAAUAGGCAUUUUAGCACUAUAAUUUUCACUAACGAGUGCAAGAGAGAAAACAAGGCAUCAAAUUGGGUUUGAACCAAGGUGAGAGAAAAGAGAGAUAGGGUUUGUGAGAGAUCAAAAGGGUUCUUCAUUGUAACCAAAGAGAUUCUUCUACACUAGUGAAUUGUUCGGGGAUCACUAAAGAAGACAUAGGCACAACGAUGAGUUUGAUAUUUAGUUAAUGAUGGUAUAGCCUUAUUGUAGAUGUAUGGCCAAUUGUAAACUGUAUGAACACGAGAUACUCCUAACUAAAUAUUGUAGCUAACUUUAACGAUCAAAACCACUUGUAUUAAGUUAUAAACAUCAAACUUUCAACGAUAGGAUCAGUUGGUAAUGAAUCUGAAGCUUAUCAUACGAUCCAUGCACAUGAAGCAUUGAGGAAAGUUAAAAACGCAAGUGUCUCUUUACACAAAUUGCUUUUGCAAGUUUAAUUAAGCUUUGGUCGGCCUGAUUGGCUCCAAUUUAUCCAAAAAUAUAACUAUUAUCAUUAAAAUCAGUGCCUCACUGGCACACUCAAAUAUAAAUCUGGACAAAGAUUACAUUUUAUCAUCGAAAUUCGAAAAGCAUGCAUCUAAUAUGUUGUUUAUUGUAUUACAACCUGCAUCGCAUGUGAGAUAUAUAUUUUAUCCAAAUUACUUUGCAGCUGUAGAAGUUAUUGAGCUAAGAAGAUCAAGCUUAAUUAAAUUAUAAAUUUCAAGUGGACCGAUCCAUUUUGAUUUAUUAUAUUAACACGUGAUUUUUUUUAUAAGGUCUUUAUGGGAAAAAAUAUAUAUAUUUUGGUUGGGUAAAUAAAAGCAUGUGGGAUGGUGGAAGUAAAUAAUUGUGGGCUCAUUGGAUCAAUCAUACAAAUUACUGACAGCCACUAGCUGGGAGGAUGACAAGGUUUCAGAGCUGCUGAUUCAAUCUCGCCAUGCAUCGCCCAUCUCGAAUAUUAAAUUUAAAUAUAAUUCAGACAGAAAAAAAUAGCACUAAUUAUAAUAAAUAAAAAAGAAAACUCCCUCAACCUACAUUCUCAUGGUAUUGAAAGUCGGAUGGCUUUAGCUUUCUCUGGACCACGUUUGUUUAAGAAAUUUCCAGUGUCUUGACUUUACGUACAUCAUCAUCACCAGUUUGGAAGCUACCUUCCCACAUCUAUGGGAUUGGGAUUGAUAUUGUCCUUUUCCAUGGAAAAACAAAACAAAAACAAAAAAGUAACGGAAGUUUUUUUGCUGAAUUUUCGUGCGUACAUAUACAUAUGCGUGUACAAAUUAUUUGUAUAUAUGCGAAGAAAAAUUAUACACAUAAAUUUAUUUGUUUGUUUGUUUGUUUGUAUGCGACAUUAUAAAUUCUAUUUUAUAGUAAAAAUGCUUAGAAACAUCGUUUCGAAGAAAAAUGAAAAACUCGUGGAUCCACAUUUGAAGGCAUAGUAAAGUAGACGACAAUAAUCUUUCAUACUUUUUGCCGAUACUUUUAACCUCUAAAAUUUCACGUUCACACUUGAAACUCACUGUAUAUAAUAUGCACAACACACAUCAAGAAUCUUUGAAAAACUUGCCUUCAAUACAUACUGAAGUUGGUCAUAGCAAAACAUACGUACGUCUCCAAAUGAUUGACAACAAUGUUCAACUACAAACUAACAAAUUUCAUCUCAGUAAUGGAAUGUUUUUAUUCAGUACAACAGAUUUGGAAAGUUUUGCAAAGUGCAAAGCUAGAGGAGCUAGCUUGAUUUUAACUAAUGAUCCACUGAUCAUUAUCUACUGAAUUCAGAAAAGACGAAAGUGCAUUGAAGCCGUCCACAUCUCCAUGAUCAUCAUCAUUUGGUUGAAGUGGGUCAUCUUGAUCCUCAUCACCAGCUCUCCAUUCUCCCAACCUUGCUUCACCCAUCAAUAAAUCUUCAAUCUUGGUAAUUCCACACUCCAACAUGUCCUGAUCACAGUCGUUGAUUUGUGCUUGUUGGAAAUCAGAACUCAGCACAUCCGGUAUGAGCAUGUCAUUGAUAUCAAAAUCCCUCAGAAAACCAAACGAAGAAUCAUGCUCCUGAGCCGCUGAAGAACACGGGCUUUCGCUGUCGGAAACAGGAGCCACGUUCGAUCUUUCAAGCAUUUGAUCAUGGCCAUCCAAAUGUGAGGGGAUGGCAACCUUCCUGCACUUAAAUGCUUUCGUACGGAUCACCUGGACAGAAGACUUUGAUGCCGGAUUAUUCGAUUUUUUCGUGUCGUCUUUCGAACUAGUGCUAGAACUCCGUUGAUCCUGAUGAGCCUUGUCACUUCCUUGCUCUGACCUCUUGCUCAAAUUGGUGUUCCAGUAGUUCUUGAUUUCAUUGUCUGUUCGUCCCGGCAACCUUCCAGCAAUGAGUGACCACCUAAUUCAAAUUAGACCAAAUUAGAGACACCAAUUUCGUCAUAAUAACUUGAUACCAAGAAGAGAUGUCAAUCUUCCAUAUAUACAUACCUGUUUCCAAGAAGCUUAUGAAGUCUAACAAUGAGCUCCUCUUCUUCAGGGGAAAUGUUGCCUCUCUUAAUAUCAGGCCUAAGAUAAUUCAGCCAACGCAAUCUGCAACUCUUCCCACAGCGGUUUAACCCUGCAGAAAAAAACAGUAGUGUUUAGUUAUGAGUACAUUGUCCCAAAUUGUAGAAGGAAAAAACAUGAAAAUUGUCACAUAUAUAUAUAUAUAAUUGUUAAUUUAAAUAAUGAACCGUACGUACCCGCUCUUGGUGGAAGGUCCCUCCAUUUUCCUUCUCCGUGAGUGUUAAUGUAGUUAGCAAGGGCUUUAUCUUCCCAAGCAGACCAUGCUCCCUUGUUCAGCCCUUCUUUAUCACAGCAUGGUUUUCUCCCCAUCUGUCUCUCUCUCUGUUUGAGUUCAAGCACAGAAUCUAGAUUGGAGUGUUAAAAGCUCCGCUCCACAUGGUGAUCUGGACAUAUUUAUACAUGUGUGCAUGUGAAUGGCUGAUGGGGGUCAAAAGCUUAGCUCCCACUUUUGAAGGCCAAUCAAUUAAUGCUGGAGAAAUUCACCUUAACAUUUUAAAUCACCAUAGUACAAUAAUAAAUGAAUGUGUAUGUAUUCGGAGUGAAGCUAACAUGGUGGCCGAUGCUCUUACAAAUUUAUGACAUAAUUUUAUUCAACUUGUGCUUCGUUUCUUAAUAUGUGCAAACAUCCGUUCAGAAAUAUUGGGAUCCCUAGAUAGGGAUCCUAGUUUGUAAUUUUUUUUAAGUUGCACCGGAGAUGAGCAGGGUUAAGCGAUCUGCCGAAACCGAGAGAUGUAAAAAUACACCAAUACCAUAGAAGAGCAUUCUAUUUUAAAAAUAUUCUGUUAUCAAACUUAGAUUGAAAAAUGAAUAUUUAUGCCAUUAAACUGGGAUAUAAACAUCUUACAUAUAUUAUCGAACAGUCUAACAAACGAAAACAUUUCCCUGCAAAAACCAAUUGGGUGUAUGACAUUAUUCGAAAAUUACAGGUUUGGGUGGAAUAUGUAUCGAGGCAUCAUGUGUGGAAUAUUUACCAGUUCCAGUGCCGUAAAUUAUGAGCAGAAUCUGAAAGUUUGGUGUUAUCUUCCCAGACUUCACUGCCCAAUAGCAUAAUUCAACCCACGUUUCACCCACUACAUGUACUCGGGACAUGGGAAGAGCCAUGAAUCACGUGGCCUUCAAAAUAUUAACUUUAACCACCUUUUCUUAUUUUUCUUUUACUUUUGAUCCAGGGUUUUUGUUUGUGAGUGUAAUUUCGUUCGUAGCUGUGGAUGCAAUAAGAAUCCAAGGGGACCACGACGCAUGAUGUACUUCAGUCCAGUCUUGUUCUUCUUGUUCUUCUUCUUCGUCUUCUUCUUAACUUAACCUAACAGUAAUAGUUUUGAACGUCAUAGUCCCUGAAAACUGAUCAACAGACACCCUGAAAAUAAGAAACAAAUGGUUGCUUUCAUCCAGGAGUACAUGUCAAUUUCAAAAAAUGACGAGACGAGGAGGUCUUUUAAUGAAAAUUCCUUGAUUUAAGGCAUUGGUACUCUUAAAUUUUGAAUUUGACUUUUGAACAUUUAUAGCUAAAAGAAAAAUUAAUAACUCAUAUACAUCAAAUAAAUCUAUUUGAAUCUUGAUAGGAAGUUACAUAAACCCCCGCUGCCUAGGUACUGGCAAAAAGAAGGAGGAGAACCACCACCGUUGAGACCUUUGUGUUGAAGGAAUAAAUAUUUGAAUAAUUGGGUGGUGUAGAGUUUAAUAAUUUUUUUCUUUUUUUUGUGGUGUGGGAGAUUUGAAUAAAAGUUAUUUUAUGAGUUUUUUUCUCGCUCAUCAGAUUUAGGAGCUCCUAGAAAUCUCUCUAUUUUAAGAGUGCUUAUUAGGACUUGGUCUAACAUAAUCACGUGGCCUUGAAAUUAUUAACUUUAACCAACCCAAGAUUAUUGUGACGUGUAUAAAAUUUUGCACAUUUUGGUUCUUUUUAUAUGAAUGCAUUAGUCCACCAAGCCACAACGAGAAUUAAUUCCACCACAAAUUGCAAAGGGACCACGACGCACGAUACUCCUCCUACCUCUUAUCACCAAGGCACCCUCAAAACUGAUCAGCUCAUGCACCAUGUUCUCCGGAAACCCAGAAUGCCAUGACAGCAACCCCAAGGAUCCAAGACACCAGCUUAUGACAGCUCACGUUGGAUAUUAUGAACCACAAAAUUAAUAAUUUGUACUCUUUCUAAAAGACAGCAAAUUCCCCUUCUCGUUCUAAUUUCUAAUAGAACUUCCAACAAAAACUAGUUUGGUUGCCUCUCGUAGUUGUUCCUUGAAUUUCUCCAGACGUACAUGUCAUCAAUUGAUGUUAUUUUUUCCAAGGCAAAAUGGCGAAACCAAAUUCAACCCAAAAACCAAAGCUUAAAUGAUUAUAAGAAAGAAACAGAAAUUCCAUCGAACCUGAUUGAUUUUGUCUUGGUGGGAGUACUGAAUUAUUCCCAAAGUCCUUGUGAGCUGACAUAUCUCCAUGCCUACUAUUUUUUAUGCAUCAUAUUUCUUAGAUUUUUACAUUUGUAAAUACCCAUGAAAAUAAAUGAAAGAAAAACAAGAGAGAUUCCAUGAGAUUUCGUAUGGUGUGUGUAAAGAGCUAGAAUAUGUACAAAUACAAUGAUAGGCAAUGACAGCUGUGAGAAUAGCAAUAUUGAACAGAGUUUAACAGAGAAAAGCAGAGAUCUUAGAAGAAGAAUUGAUGUAUUCAUACUUGAUUAUUCAACACAGUACAGUAAUCGGUUUUAUACUAGCUUGACAAAGCUUUGUGUACACGUUUCUAACCUCUUAGCCUUUCUAACUACUUUAACAGAACUCUAAAACUGCCUAACAGUCUUAACAAUAUUUCAACAACUCUCUUCUUCAAUCUUCUGACAUGUGGCAGAAUUAGGACCUUUGAUAUCUUUACAUGCCCCCUCAAUCUCAUGCUUGGAGGAGCCAAGCAUGAGAUUGGAACAAUGAUGCUGGAAUAAAGGGAUAGACAGCCCCUUAGUGAGAAUGUCAGCAAAUUGUUCUGCAGAAGAGACAUGUUGCACAAGUAAAUCACCCCGAAUGACUCGUUCUCGAACAAAAUGAUAAUCAAUCUGUAGAUGUUUCAUUCGGGAAUGAAACACUGGGUUGGAAGAGAGAGCAAUAGCAGAGAUAUUGUCACAAUGAAUUAAAGGAGGAACAUGUAAUGGAACGUGCAGAUCACAGAACAACUGUCUGAUCCAUGCAAGUUCAGCAGCCGUAAUCGCCAAAGCCCUAUACUCUGCCUCAGUGGACGAACGAGAGACAGUAUGUUGCUUCUUAGAAGCCCAAGAAAUAGGACUAGAGCCUAAGUAAACAAUAAAUCCCGAAACAGAUCUGCGGUCAUUAGGAUCCCCAGCCCAGUCAGCAUCACUAUAAGCGUGCAGAUGAAGAAGACCAGGCUUAAACCAAAUGCCAAAAUCAAUGGUUCCUUUCAAAUACCUCAGGAUUCUCUUAACUGCCACAACAUGAGAUUCCAUAGGAUUAUGCAUAAAUUGACAAGCUUGAUUCACUGAGAAGGCAAUAUCUGGCCUUGUGAAAGUGAGGUACUGCAAAGCACCAACAAUGCUUCUAUACUGCUCUGGAUGAGAAUAAGGUUUGCCAUCAUCUUUCAAGAGUCUGUGAUAAGGAAGACAAGGAGUAGGACACGGUUUUGAAUCCUGCAAAUCAACCUUGCCAAGCAGUUCCUUGAUAUACUUAGUUUGAGACACAAACAAGCCAGCAGACUGAUAUGAAAUUUGGAGCCCCAGAAAAUAAGUCAAUUGGCCUAAAUCCUUCAUAUCAAACUCCUGAGUUAAAGCACUAAUUACAGAUGCAAUAAGAGAUGAAUUACUGCCAGUAAGAAUGAUAUCAUCAACAUAGAGAAGCAAAACCACAGUACCAAGUGACGAAUGGUGAAGAAAGAGAGAUGGAUCCGCAGUUGAAGCUUGAAAACCCAAGCUUGGUAAGAAGCUAGUAAAUCUUUCAUUCCAGGCACGAGGAGCCUGUUUUAAACCAUACAAGGACUUCUUGAGUCUGCAAACAAAAUCAGAAGAAUAAAGCUUACUCUCAAAGCCUUGAGGUUGUGUCAUAUAAACCUCCUCUUGAAGAACACCAUGCAAGAACGCAUUUUUAACAUCAAGUUGCCGUAAGGACCACUGAAACUGAGCGGCCAGAGCCAGAACUAAUCGAACAGUGGUUGGUUUAACUACCGGACUGAAGGUUUCAUAAUAAUCAAUACCCUCCUCUUGACUAAAUCCCUUAGCAACCAAGCGAGCCUUAUGCCUAGCAAUAGAACCAUCUGCAUUCUUCUUGAUCCUAUAAACCCAUUUACAGCCAACAAGAUUCUUAUGAGCUGGGAGAGGAACCAAAUCCCAAGUACCUUGAGCAUGAAGAGCCUCAAUUUCCUCCCGCAUGGCAGAUUGCCAUUCCGGUGAUUGAGAAGCAGCCUUGAAAGAACUAGGCUCAAUUGUAGAGAAAUCAGUAGAAGUAGAAGCAGAAAAAGCCUUCCUCUUGGAGAUGCCAUUUUUAGACCGUGUUGUCAUAGGAUGCAGAUUUAUAGAUGGUAGAGGCAAGACAACACGAAGACUUUCAGGCUGAAAAUCAGGAUCCACAGGGAGAGGAGACUGUGUAGCUGAAUGUGUAGCAGAAGGGGAAGUAGUCAAAGGUUCAUUGGCUUCAAAGGUGGAAGGAGAAGGUGAGGCAAUGGAAAGAGAAGAGAGAGGUGAUAAGACAGUAUUAGUGAAUGAAAUGGAUGGAGGAGGAGAAGAGGAAGGGAGAUACGGAGAUGAAGAGAUACUUACUGGAUGGACAGAUGUGAAUGGAAACAUAGUUUCAUCAAAUAGGACAUGUCUAGUGACAAAUAGUCUAUUGGUAAGGAGAGAAAAACAAAUAUAGCCUUUAUAUUGUCCUGCAUAGCCUAGAAAGACACAAGUAGAAGUUUUUGGCUGAAGUUUGUUUGUAUUAUAAGGCUUGAGCAAAGGAAAGCAAGCACAGCCAAAUACCUUUAGAUGAGUAAUGGCUGGGGCAGAUCCAAACAAUAAGAAAUAAGGAGAUUUUAAAUGAAGAGUUUUACAAGGCAUCCUAUUGAUCAAGUAGACUGAAGUAGCACAAGCAUGAAACCAAAAUUUUGGUGGUAAAUGAGCAGUUUGCAAUAAAGUGAUAGCAGUCUCUAAGAUGUGUCGGUGUUUUCUCUCAGCUAAGCCAUUUUGUUCAGGUGUAUAGGGACAUGAUUUAUGAUGAAUGAUACCUCUAGCAAGAAGAAAAUGUUGAAAUUUAUGACUAAGAUACUCACCACCUCCAUCACUUUGAAAAACCUUAAGAGAAGCAGAGAACUGAGUGACUAAGUAAGCAUGAAAAUGAACAAAAAUAGAGUAAACUUCUGCUUUAUUGAUCAUUGGAAAGAGCCAAGUAAAUCGAGUACACUCAUCUACAAAGCUAACAUAAUAUUUGAACCCCUCAACAGAUAUUGUUGGAGAAGGACCCCACACAUCACUAUGAAUCACCUCUAAAGGUUUGACAGAUUUUACUGCUGGAUAAUGAAAAGGAAGUUUAGCUAGUUUGCCUUCUAAACAAUGAUGACAGAUAGAUUGGACUUUGUCUGAAGAAAAAGGAACCUGUGUUUGAUGUAAAAGAGCAGUAGUAAUGAUAUUGGAGGGAUGACCAAAUCGCUUGUGCCACAGACUAGUGUUUACUGGAUGUCCAAGAAAGCAGAAAUGUUGUUUGAGGAGAGAAGCAGCUGGAGUAGGAUGAGGCUGUGAAGGAAAGAAAGGAAUUGAAUAUAGGCCAGCUCUACACAGCCCCUUGAGAAGAACACUCCCCGUGAGUUUGUCCUGAAUCCAAAAGCCAAAUGCAUCACAUAUAAAUCUGCAGUUAUUAUCUUUACAUAACCGAUGCACAGAAAGCAAAUGCUGAGAUAUCUUUGGCACAUGCAAAACUUUCGAUAAUUGGAAAGAACACUGAGGAGUAUUCAAAGAAGAAGAGCCAACACUAGAAAUACUCAAACCUGAACCCCCCGCAGUGGUGAUAGUCUCAUUUCCUAAGAAAGGGGUAGCAAGACUGAGUUGAGACAAAUCAGACGUCAUAUGGGCUGUUGCUCCAGUAUCAGCUACCCAAAAUUGCUCAGCUGAUGAGGAAGGAGAACAGUCGGCAUGCAUUGCAGUAAGAUUGGAUGAAGGAGGUUUGCCUUGAUAGGAAAAAUUGCCUCUGUGGUAACACUGAAUAGCGGUGUGGCCAUACUUCCAGCAAAUUUGGCAUUGAACAGAGGAACUAGGACUUGUGAAUUGCUGAUGUCGCUGAUAACAAUCAGCAGCAAGAUGACCUUUCUUGUUGCAUAUUUGACAAGUUGGAAUAUCAGUACCCGAACCAAGGAUGCCAGGGCCAGAAUUAGGUGGAGCUUGAUACGGUCUUGGACUAGAAGAAAACUGAUGCCGAGGUCUGCCUCUUCCUCGAUAAAAGGAACCUCUAUUAGGGCCAGAUUGGAAACCACCAUUAUGUGAAAAAGAGCCACCAUUAGAGCUAGAGUGGACACCUCCAUUGAGACCACCAUGAACACCACCAUUGUGGCUAGAUGAAAUAGAAGAUGGGACAGACGGGGAAGUGUCAGCAAGAACAAGAGAUGUUCCUUGGAAUGAUUGAUUGUUCGCCAUCAUUGCAGAGGCAAAAGGAGUGGCAGAGCAAGUAUGUUCAAGAAUGGCCUCUUCAGCAAGCAACUGAGAUCUAAAAUCUUUAAGAGAGAGCACAUUUUCCCUGCCUCGAACCAUACACCGAAAUGUAUUAUAUUCUGGGGGAAGACCAUUAAGAGCCAAGAUGACAAUAUCAUCAUCAUCAAAAGAAACCCCAGCAGCAGCAAGAUGAUCUCUAGCAUCCUUUAUCUUGUGCAAGUAUUGAGAGACUGGGUCAGCACCCUUCUUGAUAUUCUGAAGCUCACUUUUCAUCUGAAAAAUCCUAGCUUUGGUAACCAUAGAAAAUCUGUCCUUCAACUGAACCCACAUAUCAUGAGAACUAGUACACCCAAUGACAUAUGAGAUUGCAGCAGAAGAAAGGGUGGCAAUUAGCAAUUGCAUCAAGGCACGAUCAUGCAUCUUCCACACUGCAUAAGCAUCAGUUUCCACACCUUCAACAGCAGAAUCUUCAUCAAAACGAGGAGGACACAGCCGUGAACCAUCAACAAACCCCAAUAAGCCAUGACCUUCAAGAAGAAGCUGCAUCUGAAAAUUCCAAGUGAGAUAAUUUGCAUCAUCAAGCUUAACUGUCACAGAAGUAGAGACAGUGGGAAUUAAGGUAGUAAUCGGAGAUUGAACAAUUUGAAGUUGAGUAGCAGUCACCAUGAUGAGUAUUCAGGAAGAUAAUAGGUUUGAGAAGAAAAGAAAUGGGCAAUAGAACAAGCAGAAGUUUCUGUGAGGUAAAAGAACAAACAGGUGGUAGGCAGAGCAAAGACUACGAAAGGGAAUAGUGGGGUUGAAGAGGGAAAGAAGCUCGAUGAAUGAACAAAGAAGAAGAGAAGAGAGGAUAGAGACAGAAGAACAGAAAUUGCAGCAAAGAAAAGGAAUGCGGAAGCUCAGGAUCGUACUAUGGCGAUGAUACCAUGUGAGAAUAGCAAUAUUGAACAGAGUUUAACAGAGAAAAGCAGAGAUCUUAGAAGAAGAAUUGAUGUAUUCAUACUUGAUUAUUCAACACAGUACAGUAAUCGGUUUUAUACUAGCUUGACAAAGCUUUGUGUACACGUUUCUAACCUCUUAGCCUUUCUAACUACUUUAACAGAACUCUAAAACUGCCUAACAGUCUUAACAAUAUUUCAACAACUCUCUUCUUCAAUCUUCUGACAUGUGGCAGAAUUAGGACCUUUGAUAUCUUUACAACAGCGACUCCUGUGAGGCUCACUUGUGUCUGUCAAAUAGAUAAUCAGAACAUACUGUACAUUAUGUGGACCCAUACGAGCCCUCUACAUCUGAACAAUACAAAUUAGAACAAGAAGAAAUACAAAAUCAGCAAAAGGUAGAUUCCACAAGAAAAAUGCAAACCAAACACGACUUGUGCAUUAAUUGCAUUAUUUUGAGACAACAUAUUGUUUUAGGGUUUUCUUUUUAUAAAAAGAUAAAGUUAGGGAGAACGAAAUUCAACUUGAGACAUCUCACAAGAGAGCAGACAAAGAUAUACUAACUAACUAACUAUAUAUGUGAUUUGAGUUGGUGAAAGUACAUCUAAUUAAAGAGAAGAUAACAACGCAAGGGGUUUGUAGCGUUAAAAUGAUUAAGAGUAUUUAUCUCUGCACUUGAGGUUCUAGGUUCGAUUCCCUCCUCUCCCAAUCAAGGACGGAUCCACAAAGGAGCAAGGGUGCUCAAGUGACCCCUGCAACUCUGGAAUCUGCCAUUAGAGGGGAGAAAAUUGACCCCUGCAAACAGCUCGAUGAAAGUCCUCAAUGAGCUGUUCUUCUGUUUUCUCCCUAGCGCGCAGUGCUGCUUAGACCCUUGCACUUUUUUUUUUCCGUCAGCGUCAAAACGACGUCGUUCCACUAAACCUUUUUAUUUUAUUUUUUUAAAAUCUGGCCAAAACGACGUAAUUUUGGGAUUUUACAAUAUAUUUUAUUUGUUAGUUUGUAUGCUUGUAUCUUCUUGGCAAAUUGGAUUAAUUUUUGUCCAUUCAAUUUUUGGAUUGGAUUGGUUGUUCAUGCUUUAUUGAUUAUUUCUACCAAUACAGUUUAUGGAACGAUAUUUUAAUAGAAAGUUCUCAUCAACUACUUCUAAUUCAUAUAAUGUGGGUAGUUCGAGUUCAAAGAUGUUGUGGGUAGUUCAAAAGAAGUAAGUUGCAAGAUGUGGCUAAUCUUCCUGCAUACCCUGAACUUUGACUUUGGAACAAACUUAGACAAGCAUAUCUACAAAACGGUCUAUGUCAAUCUAAGGAUCACACAUUUCUUCAAACCGAUUUUUCAGGGAAAAUUCCUUUUAGAUGUUGACCCCUGUAAGAAAAAUUCUUGAAUCCAUCCCUGUCCCCAAUAUUGCUUGUAUCGAAACCUAUUUUUCGUAAAAUAGUGCAAUUUGAAGUUGAACUGGUAGAUUGGUGGAGGAGAGGGAAGCAUGCAUGAUGACUUGAAAAUUAUCAACCUACCCCAUCCCAUGAUGUCAUUGUGGUAUUAUAAUCGUACGUAGUUGGCAAUUUGCAAAACAUUGUAUUUAUUGGCAGUAUUAUGUUAGGUGACCAACCUCUACCAUAUAAUAUAGUAAAAUUCGGAACUAUUGUUAUCCUCACCACAAAAAUAUUGCAUGAGCUUUUCAUGUUACAUUGGCAGUGGAAUCUUUUUUAAAAUCUGCCAUAUGCAAAAGGGUGAGUGACUUUAGCCAAAGAUAUGACGCCUCACGUCUCAUCAUGCUUCAUUGAAACUGAAAGUUGGUUCUUCUUUAUGAUAAAUCUUCAAAGUUUUGGUUUGGUAUUGGUGGAAACCCUAAACCAGACGAUAGAGAGAGAGAGAGCUGGACGACAGGAUUUCAGAAUAAUAGAAUGUAUGGGGAGGGGGGCGCAAUUGGCCCAGUAAUUUCAAAUGGUCGAUGGUCAACAUCAAAUUCUGGGGAAUAAAAAUAUAAUUCAUAACAAAAAUAAACGAAUUAUACGUUAUAAUAUUAUUAAAUCUCCCUCAACGUCCAUUCUUAUGGUAUUGAAAGUUGGAUGGCUUAGCUAGCCCUGGACAGAAAAAGAAAUAGCCCUGGACGAAAAAAGAAAUAGCUAGCCCUGGACCACGCUCCUCGUACACUAUUCGGCUAUUUGCAAUCAAUUUGGGAGCUACCUUCCUACGUCUGUGGGAUCCUCCUUGUCAUUUUUCAUGAAAAACAAAAACGAAAAGGUAAUGAUUUUUGCUGAGUUUUUGUACGUACAUAUAUAUAUAUAUAUAUGCAUACGCACGUACCCAAUUUUUUAUAUAUGUUAAGUUGCAUCAUAUAUUUUUCUUAUCAAAUGAGUAAUAUCAAUUAGCAUCAUCAAGCACACGUUGAACAUAUCAUUGGCUUUCUUCAUUGGAAAGGGUACAUAUGGAAUAUAUUCCGGGAAAAUUUACAAAGAAUUACCUAUACAACACUAACGCAACACGGAAGCACAGGUAAAGGGAUCUCAAGCGAUUACCUUAAAAUAACAAUGUCGGAUUUUAUUGAAAUAAUAUGAAUAAACUGUUAAAUACGAUGCCAUAAUUUGGCUUAAAUUGAAAACCAAGUCAGCUAUCCCACACCUCAUAAAACCACUAGCUAGCUCUUCACAUCACCGCACCAAUUAAACGUGGAAAAGAUAAUUUACCUGAUUGAUGCGUUUUUCCUGUACAAUACAAGCAUGUAAUGUAAGACAAUCGGUUGUCGGUUAAAUGAAUGAAAGAUUGAACGACUAGCAAAAUUUGGGAUUCUUGAAAUGCCGAAAAUCAAGGAGAGUUAUGAAAAAAGUGGCACGGUUAGUCAAAUUUGCGGACAUCUUUUAUCCUACAUGGAAUUCAAUUAAAAAAUAAUUGAGUUUUACUUGAAGAUAUAUAGCAACAAAUAUUAUUGUUUCAUUGAUUGAUCAGAUUGACCAUUACAAUCAUUGAUUGAUAAAAAAUGACAUUCUAAAUUGUUGUAAAAUACGAGGAGGAGAGACAUCAAACUCAAGUGCAAGGGAGCGGGCACACUGUCAUGCCCAACUCGCCUAAUAUAUAUUAUUAUAUAGGUUUCGCAACGUUGACAAGCUAUAUUGUGGGGUUUGAUUCUAACUAAUGAUCCACUGACCACCAUCUUCUGAAUUCAGAAAGCAUGAAAGUGCAUUGAGGUCUACAGGUUCUUCAAGAUCACUUGGUUGAAAUAUUGGGUUAUGAUCAUGAUCAUCGGUAGCCAUUAAAAAAUCUUCAAUCUUGGACGUUCCAUCCACCAAGUCUUGAUCGCAUCCACUGCUUUGGGCUUGGUGGAAAUCCGAGUUUAGCAGUUGGUCCGAUAUGAACAGGUCGUUGGUAUCAAAAUCCAUUAGAAAACCAGGAUCCACGUUAUUUGAUCUGUCAGCCAUUUGAUCAUCAUCAUGACCAUUAUCCAAAUGUGAUGGAACGACAACGUUCUUGCACUUAAAUGCUUUUGUUCGAAUCACCUGGACCUGUUGAGACACUGAUUUUUUCGUGUCUUGUUUUGAGCAAGCUUGCUCUACUCUCUUGCUCAGAUUGGUGUUCCAGUAGUUCUUGAUUUCGUUGUCAGUUCGUCCCGGCAAUCUUCCAGCGAUGAGUGACCACCUUAAAAUAUAUACACCACCAUAUAACAUUUCAAAGUAAGAGAAAAACGAAAUCCAGUACUCAAAUGAAGUGCUGCCAUACAUAUAUAUAUAUAUAUAUAUAGGUACCUGUUUCCAAGAAGCUUGUGUAGUCUGAAAAUGAGCUCUUCUUCUUCAGCCGAAAUGUUACCUCUCUUAAUAUCUGGCCUAAGAUAAUUCAGCCAUCGCAGUCUGCAACUCUUCCCGCACCGCUUUAACCCUGCAUCAUAUUAGUGUUUAUCCCAAAGUUCAGAACAAUAAAAAAUGAAAGCUGACAUACAAAUUACAAUUAAGGAUUUAAAGUAAUGGAGUAGUACCAGCUCUUCUAGGAAGGUCUCUCCAUUUUCCUUCUCCAUGUAUUUCAAUGUAAUUGGUGAGAGUUUUGUCUUCCCAAGCAGACCAUGCUCCCCUGUUUAGCCCUUCUUUAUCACAGCAUGGUUUUCUUCCCAUCUCUCUCUCACUGUGCCUCUUUCUCUCUCUGAGUUACAGAGUGUAGCUUGAUGCUGAUUAGAGUCUUAGACUCCACAGGGAGAUAUAUAUGUGUGUAUGUGAUCAAUGCCUCAGCAGGGGACAAAAGCUUGGCUCCCACUUUGGAAGGCCAAUCAAUUAAUGUUAGAAUAAUUCAACCUAAUAACAUUUUACCGCACCACAAUAUAGUUACUUACGGGUAAUGUUCUCGAAUCAUACUUAUGUUAGAUAAAUGUUUAUAUUAUCAUACUAUGCAUGAUGAUUAUGAAGAUAGAUGCAUUAUGGACAAAAUCAACGUGAUAAUAUUGAAAUAUAAGCAUCUUAUAUCGGCAAACAGUUGUCAAGAGAAUAUUCAUUCUACAUAUGCAAAAUAUCAAAGAUUGCAUGGGCGGAACUAGCAACAAGGCUACCAUGGGCUCUAGCCUAAGUAGCCUUUAAAAAAUAUUUAAAAAAUAUUGAAUGUAUUUUUAUGUGAUUUCACUCUAUAAAAAAUUAGUAGUCCACCUAAAUGUAGCCUAAUAACUCUUUGUCUAUUCCACCUAUAGGCCUAUAAUCAUCUUAUAUUUAAUUUGUUUUGCUCAGCUAAAAGCAACUCCAAUGGAGAUGUCAAAUAAUAUGUAUCAAAGUUGGAUUUGAUGGCUGAUAACUUUUGUAACAACCCGAUCCUUAAUUAUUAUUUUAUUCAAAGAAAGGACUAGAAUACCCUCAAAAUAUUUUAUAUGGUUUAAAAGUUGACUUUUUAACUGGGAAGGAAUUUGAGAAUUUCAAUUGUAUCGUUGCGUAGAUCACGUCGAUACGAGUUCGUAGAUACGUAGUGGGCUCGAAUCGAAGUUAUAAUGAAGAAAAUACGAUUAAAAUUCACGGAAGGGCAAAAUUGUAAUUUGUCAAAUCAGAAAUUUUAAAACCCUCUCUCUCUCCUGGCCAACCAGCCGCCUCCCCCCCCACCCCCCUCCCCCUGAUUUUUCUGCUCCAGCCGUGGCAUCUUCAAGCCACAAUCACCCCCACAUGCCACGGCCGGCCACGUGACUGGUCCGGUUAGGACCACCAUCAUCCUAGCAACGUGUUCCGU
rnacentral:lncRNA from 1 species